rnacentral:lncRNA from 1 species
UACUUUUACAUACUUUUAUCUAUUCAUAUAGGUAAUUAUAUGUAUGUCCGUGGCAUUACCCCCCCUUCUAGGGACGAGUUCCACGAGGAGCGGUGAUUAUAUAUUGAGAAAAUCUAAUAUGCGGCGAAUUGUAUUUGCUACAUACUCUGAUCUUUGUUCUCUUCGAAGAUAGUUGAUGGGUCCUCUUAGCCAUCGAUAGUGUCCCAUUCCAGGGCGAGAAGACCACCCUGUUAUUUGAUCACUGUUGAGGCCUUCAUAACUUCCUUCAAAUAAUACAUUUGAAACACCAUCAGGAGUCGUUCCUAUCUCCAAUAAUAUCACCAAACAUCGAGAAUCUCUUCCAAGGUCGUGAUACCAAACGCGUUGUAUCUCACCAUCUAUUCGAGGAAGAACAUGUCGUUCUUGAGGGUCUUCAUUUCGGUUGCGUCGUCUUGAAGGUUGUGACAAUCGCAAUGUCUCAUCCGGUAAGUCAGUAAACGAAGGUUCUUGAGUUGAAUCCGCUGGUUGUUGGCUCUCCAUCUAAUUAGCGUCACAAAAUGCAAAGAAGUUACAAACAAGGAUAGGAAAUUGAAUGUUAUCUUGCCUCAAUCUUGUCUCUUUUAUAAGAGAGGUUUUCAUCUUGGUUUUGAUGGAUGUCGUUGAUGAAAAACUUUGACUUUAGCUGAUGCAUUUGCUAAAUUCCUGGAUGGCUCCCAUGUGCGCUCACUAAUAUCAUAUCCGCACCAAUGAACAAGAUAUUCCAGCUUAUUUCGGCGCCGCCUUGAGUCUAAUAUCUCUUCCACCUCAAAUUCUUCAUUAUUAUCUACUUCUAUAGGAGGCGGAGGCAUUUGUCUUCUUCCUUGUAUAUCCACUGUCUUAUAUGGUUCAAGAAGAGACACGUGGAAUACAGGAUGGAUCUUCAUUGACUCCGGUAGAUGUAACCGAUAUGCAACUGGGUUGAUCUGUUCAGAAACAGAAAAGGGGCCAAGCCUACGAUAGUCCAAUUUGUCACAAGGUCGAGUGGUCUUAAUAUUGCGACGAAGUAGCCAUACCUUAUCACCCACGUUGAGUUGUGGUUGCUCUGUACGAUAUACAUCUGCAUUUAUCUUUUGUCGUUCUUGAGCUUUCUUCAACUGCGCCUUCAUUAUUGCAUGUAACUCUGACAACCGAUUUGCCAUAUCUUCUGCUGCAGGAUUAUCAACUUUUGAAAAAUCAAAAGUAUCAAGUCGUGGAUGAUAGCCAUAAUUGGCAAAGAAAGGUGUUUGUUGCGUGGAGGAAUGUACCGUAUUAUUAUAAGCAAACUCUGCCAAUGGCAGAAGGUUUGUCCAAUCAUCUUGUUGGUAGUUGAUGGUACACCUUAAAUACUGUUCCAAGACUUGGUUUACGCGCUCUGUUUGUCCAUCAGUUUGAGGAUGGAAAGCUGAAGAUAGCUUUAUGUCCACUUUUAAAAUCUUGAAAAGAGUCCUCCAGAAUCUCGACACAAAUUGAGUUCCCCUAUCCGAUAUGAUAUCUUUAGGCAAUCCAUGAUAGCGAUAGAUAUUAUCAAUGAAAAGCUUAGCUGUUUCUUCACCUGUGAUAGAUUUUGUACAUGGCAUAAAAUGUGCCAUCUUGGUGAAACGAUCUACUAUCACAAAUAUAGAAUCAUAAGAUCUUGAGUUUGGAAGAUCUGUGAUGAAAUCCAUAGAAACAGAAGACCAUGGUUGUUCUAGUAUAGGUAAUGGCUGAAGAAGUCCGUAAGGUCGAUGUCGAGGAAUUUUUGAUCUUGAACAAAUAUCACAUGAUUGUACAAAGUCUUUGACUGACUUCCACAUUUGUGGCCACCAAAAAUCUCUUGAUAUGAGUUCCAGAGUCUUAUUAUAUCCAAAGUGCCCUGCUGCUGGAAAGUCAUGACGUGCUUGAAGAACACGCAAACGUGCUUUUCCUUCUGGAACAUAUAGGCGUCCUUCAAAAUAUAAUAGAUUAUUCUUGAACUCGAACUUAGAAGAAUCAUGAGACUUGGAAGAAUUAUUCUCGAUAUCAUGAACAAGAGGGUCUGAGGACAUACUGGACUGGAUUUGCUUGAGAAAAGUUGAAUCAACAGUCAAUGUUGAUUUCACUGCUCGGAGAUGAAAUUGCUCCGGUUUCAAGAGGACCGUUCUUUGUUGCUCAAAAGCUGCAUCUCCUUCUUUUGGUGCAAAAUAAGAACGUCUAGACAGGGCAUCGGACAAACCUUGUUGUUUUCCUGGCCGAUAAGUGAUAAUGAAGUCGAAUCUUGACAAAGACAUACUCCAACGAGCUUGACGACGAUUCAACACGCGUGCUGACAUGAAAUACUCGAGGUUCUUGUGAUCUGUAUACACAGUGACUAGACUAGAAGCACCUUCUAGAUAAUGACGCCAUUCUUGAAAAGAAUCCACGAUUGCAAGAAGUUCUUUAUCGUGGAUCUCAUAAUUGAUCUCGGCUGCUGAGAAUUUUCUUGAAUGAAAAGCUAUCGGAUGAAGUUUGUCAUCUGUUCCCAUUUGUGAUAAAACUGCACCCAAGGCAAAAUCCGAUGCGUCUGUUUCCAUAAAAAAUGCCUUGGAAAAAUCAACACGAUAUAAGACUGGUGCAGAGACAAACGAUGUCUUCAAGGCUUCAAAUGCUGCUUCCGCUUCUUGAUUCCAUUGGAAUUUAUCUUUACUAGUCAAGCGUGUAAGUGGAGCUGCAACUCGUGAGAAGUCUUUGAUGAAGAUCCGAUAGUAAUUGGCAAAUCCCAAGAAACAUUGGACAUCUCUCACAGUCUUUGGAAUCUUCCAAACCAUGAUUGUUUGGACUUUCUUAGAAUCCAUCAUAAGACCAUCAUUUGAAAUGAUGUAUCCUAAAAAGUCAACUUGAGUAGUGUGAAAUACACACUUUUCCAUCUUGGCGUACAAUCCUGCAUCUCUGAGUUUUUGUAAUACUUGACGAACAUGUAUUUCAUGUUCUUCAACAUUCUUAGAAUAAAUCAGGAUAUCGUCUAGGUAGCAGACGACAAAAUUGUCUAAGAAUUCACGAAAUACAUCAUUCAUGAGAUGUUGAAAAGCAGCUAGUGCAUUCGUGAGUCCAAAAGGCAUGACAUUAUAUUCAAAAUGCCCGUACCUGGUUCGAAACGCAGUCUUCCAUUCAUCUCGUUCUUUGAUCCAUACUAGAUUAUAUGCUCCUCUUAGAUCUAUUUUUGUAUAGAUCUUAGCUUGAUUUAACUGGUCAAGGAGUCCUGAUAUCAAAGGUAAUGGAUACCUGUUCUUGAUUGUGAUCUUGUUGAGUCCUCGAUAGUCAACACACAUUCGUAAAGAUCCAUCCUUUUUCUUUACGAAUAAAAUUGGAGCUCGUGCUGGAGAUUUUGAAUGGCGUAUGAAAUUCUUCGCUAAAUUCUCGUCAAUAUAUGUCUUGAGUUCAGCCAACUCAUCUUGCGAUAAACUGUAAAUUGGUCCAAAUGGUGGCUGAGUUCCUUCCUUGAGAUCGAUUGAACAAUCGUAUGGGCGAUGCUCAGGAAGAAUAUCUGCAUUCUUUUUCUCAAAAACGUCUUGAUAAUCCUGAUAUUGACUUGGAAUGCCACUUGAAGUCUUUACGCUUUCAGAAAUAGGUGCAGCAUAAAUAGCAAAAGUUGAUCCUUCUUUUGCUGCGUGUAUAAAUGCUUUUGCACCUAUAGGUGUGAGUUUUACUAUACUAGACUCAUGGUUUUUUACUUGGUUAAUAGAACUGUUACUAAUGCUCUGAGGAAAAUCAAGUUUACGAGAAAUCCAAUCUAUUCGAGGAUUAUACUUUUCUAACCAUGAUAAGCCUAAAAUUACUGGAUUAGAGGGAGAUCUAAUUAUAUUAAAAAUUACGCAACUACUAUGACCAUUUAUUACUACAUCUACAGGAAGUGUUUCGUGAGUUACAUCUCCAGAAGACAACGGACGACCAUCUAUGACUUCUACGUGUACAGGUUUAGUUUUUUGUAUUAAUGAUAUUCUAUGACAUCUAGCAAAUUCUUCAUCUAAAAAACAAGAUGAGGCUCCUGAAUCUACCAAGGCAGAGGCUUUGUAAUUAUUAGGUCCUAAACGCACAUCUAUUAUAAAACAAGGAGAUGGUUCUGAGGAGAGGAUAGGACCUUCAUUAGAAGUUGUACAAGAUUCCAGCUGCACGGUCCCUAUUGUAGCUGGAUGUACUUGUUUUCCGACAUACUGUCUUCUUUGACAGCCGUACUCCUCAUUUUGUAGUUACGUCGCUUCUUUGGACAAUGUUGAGCAGUGUGCUUAGGUUCUCCACAAUAUAAGCACAAUCCUUCUUGUCGACGACGAGACUUUUCUUGCUCAGUAAGAGGUUUGAAACGUACCGCAUCAAUUUGCAUAUCCUCUACUUCUGAAGGUAUGUGUUGAGGAGACGUCGGUGUUGCGAUUGAAUUGUAGUAACGUUGAGGCCUACUUGUGCGACUCUCGGAUCGAAAUUCAAAAAGUCGAUUGUCGCACUUCACAGCAAAGUCAAUUGCUUGACUCAAUGUUUGAGGAUCAGGUAAAUUAAGCAUCAAUUUCUUUACCUCAUAUUGUAAUCCGUAGAGAAAUUGACUCACAAGUGCGGCAUCAUCCCACUUGAUAUCAGUUGCAAGUUGUCGAAAUUGCGAAGCAUAUAAUGUUACUGAUCGAUUGCCUUGUCGCAAAAUACGGAUCUUGUUGGUUGCAACACGAAUUGCAUCAUGUUCUCCAAACAUGGAUCGAAACUCCGCCAAAAUAGCCUCCAGAUUAUCCAAUAUUGGAUCUCGUCGUUCAAGAAAAGAUGAAAACCAUGACAAUGCUGAACCUGAAAGAAGUGUACCAAUGAAUCUUACUUGUGACCCUGGAGUUGGAUAACUCUGGGGUUGAAGUUCAAUCACUAGUUGGACCUGAUUGAUGAAUCCUCGAAACUUGGAUCUGGUACCAUCAAACUUCUCGGGCAAGGCAACUCUCGGUUCUCUAACACUCGAAGGGUGUUCCAUUCUGGGAGAAGGGACAUGGUUUGGUGCAGAUGUUGAAGCAGCCCCAAUCAUCUCUAUAUCUUCACUUCCUACCAUUCUUGUUGCUCCUUGUGGUGGUAAAUUGAGUUGAUGCAUCGCAAGUAUUAACUCCCUCAAUUGUUCUUGCAUCUGUGCCAUUGCACUCUUCAUUUCAACAAGCUCUGCCAUAGUAGCACUUAGAAAAGAGAAGAUGUCUAACAAUGCUCAAAACAAAUAGAAGAGAUGAAUUGAUAACAAAGAAAAUACUAAGAACAAUAUCAGUUUAAAAGAGGGUAAUCCGCAACUUCUAAUGCGCUUAUGUCUUAUCAAGAAAAAGGGGUAAUCCACUCUUAAUCAAGAAAAGACAAAGCUCUGAUAUUGUAAGUGGACUCUUGUCAAUCUGUCAGGGACAAGAACUCGAUGAAAGCUAAAGAGUAAGUGAGACUUUUCUCAAAAAGAAAUAGGACAAAAUAGAAAUAUGUAUAUUAAGAAAGAAACUGGAAUGGCUAUUGCCAAAAUACAAGAAAACUAGAGACCCUUGAAACUAGACUAGAAGCAAGAAAGGAGUUGACAAGAGUGAAGAGGGCUUCACUCUUGCCUCUAUAUAUACUAUCUAACUAGAAGCCACGUGGCGAUGUUCUAUAAGACCUCCAAUAUAUGUUGACUUUCUAGGCCACAUGCCUUUGCUUGCAAGGCAAGUUUUCUAUGGAUGGACCACGUAGUUAGCUUGUUCUUUAAGCUUCCAACAUGCGUGGCACAUGGCUAACUUGUUGACCAAGUUUCUAACCUAAAAGUCAACUAUAGACUCCUAUAAAGUCAAAGCAGCGUCUAUGAAGCUUCUAAGAAGCUUCUCUAGAAGAUAUUACACAAUUAACCUACUUUUACAUACUUUUAUCUAUUCAUAUAGGUAAUUAUAUGUAUGUCCGUGGCAUUACCCCCCCUUCUAGGGACGAGUUCCACGAGGAGUGGUAAUCAUAUGUUGAGAAAAUCUAUGAUGUGACAAAUUGUAUCCGCCACAUAUUCUGAUCUUUGUUCUCUUCGAAGAUUAUUGAUAGGGCCUCUCAACCAUCGGUAGUAUCACAUACUAGGGCGAGAAGACCACCCAGUUAUUUGAUCAUUGCUGAGGCCUUCAUAACUUUAUUCAAAUAAAAUAUUUGAAACACCAUCAAAAGUUGUUCCUACCUCUAGUAAAAUCACCAAAUAUCAAGAGCCUCUUCCAAGAUCUUGAUACCAAACGCGUUAUAUCUCACCAUCUAUUCGAGGAAGAACAUGUUGUUCUUGAAGAUCGUCAUCUCGAUUCUGUCAUCUUGAAGGUUGAGACAAUCGUAAUGUCUCGUCCUCUAGAUUAGCAAACAAAGGCUCUUGAGUCAAAUCUGCUGAUUGUUGGUUCUCCAUUUCUUGAGUGUCACAACUACAAAGAAGCUACAAAAAAAGAUUGAAAAUAGAAUGUUAUCUUACCUAGAUCUUGGUUCUUUUAUAAGAAAGAUUUUCAUCUUGAUUUUGAUGGAUGUCAUUGAUGAAAAGCCUCCACCGCCUUUGUUGCAUUUACAAGAUUCUUUACUUACUCCCAUGUACAUUCACUAAUAUCAUAUCCGCACCAAUGGACAAGAUAUUCUAAUUUAUUUUGGCAUCACCUUGAAUCUAAGACUUCUUCUACUUCAAACUCUUCAUUAUUGUCUACUUCUGUAGGAGGAAGUGGAGCUUGUCUUCUUCUUGGUAUGUCCACUGUCUUAUAUGAUUCAAAAAGAGACAUGUGAAAUACUGGAUGGGUUUUCAUUGACUCCGUUAGAUGUAAAUAAUAUGCAACUGAAUUGAUUUGUGCAGAAAUAGAAAAUGGUCCAAGCCUUCGAUAGUCCAUCUUGUCACAAAGAGGAGUGGUCUUGAUAUUGCGACAAAAUAACCAUACCUUAUCACCCAUGUGGAAUGGUGGUUGUUCAUUUUGAUAGACAUCCGCAUUGACCUUUUGUUGUUCUUGAGCUUCUUUUAAUUAUGCCUUCAUCAUUGCAUAUAGCUCUGACAAAUGAUUUGUCAAAUCUUUUGCAGCAUGAUUAUCAACUUUUGAAAAGUCAAAAAUAUCAAUUCAUGGAUGAUAACCAUAAUUGGCAAAGAAAGGUGUUUGUUUUGUAGAAGAAUGUACCAUGUUAUUGUAAGCAAACUCUGUGAAUGGUAAAAGAGUUGUCUAAUCAUCUUGUCGGUACUUAAUGGUACAUCUUAAAUACUGCUCCAAAACUUGAUUAAUAUGCUCCGUUUGUCCAUCAAUUUGAGGAUGGAAUGCCAAAGAUAGUUUUAUAUCCACUUUUAAAAUCUGGAAAAGAAUCCGCCAAAAUCUUGAUACAAAUUGAGUUCCCUUAUCUGAUAUAAUAUCCUUGGAUUAUCUAUGAUAGCGAUAGAUAUUGUCAAGAAAGAGCUUAGUUGUUUCUUCACUUGUGAUAAAUUUUGUACAUGGUACGAAAUGUGCCAUCUUGAUAAAACAAACUACUAUCACAAAUAUAGAGUGAUAAGAACCUGAGAUUGAAAGAUCCGUGAUAAAAUCCAUAGAAAUAGAAGACCAUGAUUGUUUUGGAAUGGGUAAUGGCUGAAAAAGUCCAAAAGGUCGAUGAUGAGGAGUUUUUGAUCUUGAGCAAACAUCACAAGAUUGUACAAAAUCUUUGACUGCUUUCUACAUUUGUGGCCACCAAAAGUCCCUGGGUAUUAGUUCCAAAGUUUUAUUGUACCCAAGAUGUCAUGCUGCUGGAAAGUCAUGACAAGCUUGAAGAACACAUAAUCAAGUUUCACCUUUUGGAAUAUAUAGGCGUCCCUCAAAAUAUAGUAGAGUCUUCUUGAAUUCAAACUUGGAAGUCUCAUAAGCCUUUGAAGGAUUUCUCUUCAUAUCACAAAUAAGAAGAUCAGAAGACAUACUUGACUGAACUUGCUUAAUAAAAGUUGAAUCAAUAAUUAGUGUUGAUUUCAUUGCUUGAAGAUGAAGAUGCUCUGGCUUCAAGAGAAUUGUUCGUUGUUCAUCAAAAGCAGCAUCUGCUUCCUUUGAUGCAAGAUAAGAUCGUUUAGAGAGUGCAUCUGACAAACCUUGUUGUUUUUCUAGUCAAUAAGUGAUCUUGAAUUCGAAUCUUGACAAAGACAUACUCUAACAGGCUUGGCAACGAUUCAAAUCACGUGUUGACAUAAAAUAUUCAAGGUUCUUGUGAUCUGAAUACACUGUGAUUAGGCAAGAAGCAUCUUCUCAAUAAUGGCACCAUUCUUGAAACAAAUCCACGAUUGCAAGAGUUCUUUGUCGUAGAUCUCGUAGUUGAUCUCGACUACUGAAAAUUUUUUGGAAUGAAAAGCUAUUGGCUGAAGUUUAUCAUCUGUUCCCAUUUGUGACAAUACAACAUCCAAAGCAAAGUCUGAUGCUUCUGUUUCCAUAAAAAAUGGCUUAGAAAAAUCGACACAAUACAAGAUUAGUGCAGAAACAAAGGUUGUCUUCAAAGCUUCAAAUGUUAUUUCUGCUUCUUCAUUCCAUUGAAGUUUGUCUUUGCAAGUCAAACAUGUAAGUGGAGCUGCAACUUGAGAGAAGUUUUUGAUGAAGAUCUGAUAGUAGUUGACAAAUCUCAAAAACCAUUAGACAUCUCUUACCGUUUUUGGGAUCUUCCAAUCCAUAAAGUUUGAACUUUUUUAAGAUCCAUCAUAAGUCCAUCAUUUGAAAUGAUGUAUCCUAAAAAGUCGACUUGUGUAGUAUGAAAUACACACUUUUCUAUCUUGGCAUAAAAUCCUGCAUCUCUUAGUUUUUGUAAUACUUGGCAAACAUGAAGUUCAUAUUCUUUUAUAUUCUUAGAAUAGAUUAAGAUGUCGUCUAGGUAACAAACAACAAAAUCAUCUAAAAACUCUUGAAAGACAACAUUCAUUACAUAUUGGAAUGCUGAUGGUGCAUUUGUAAGUCCAAAAGGUAUGACGUUGUAUUCAAAAUGUCCAUACCUUGUUUGAAACACAGUCUUUCAUUCAUCUCUUUCUUUAAUGCGUACCAAAUUGUAUGAUCCCCGUAGAUAUAUUUUUGUAUAGAUCUUAGCUUGAUUCAACUGAUCAAGAAGUCUAGAUAUCAAAGGUAGCGGGUACCUAAUUUUUAUAGUGAUUUUGUUGAGUCCUCGAUAAUCAACACACAUCCGCAAUGAUCCAUCUUUUUUCUUCAUAAAUAAAAUAAGAGCUCCUGUUGGAGAUUUGGAAUAGCAUAUGAAGUUCUUGGCCAAAUGCUCCUUGAAUUCACCUAACUCAUUUUGAGAUAAAUAGUAGAUUGGUCCAAAUGGCGGUUGUGCUUCUUCUUGAAGGUCAAUUGAGCAAUCAUAGGAACGAUGUUCUGGAAGAGUAUGCGCAUUCUUUUUUUCAAAUACAUCUUAAAAAUCUUGAUAUUGGCUUGGAAUGCCACUUGAAGUUUUUCUACUAGUAGAAAAAAGUGUAGCAUAAAUGACACAAGGUGAUCCUUCUUUUAUAGCAUGCAAGAAAGCACUUGCACCUACAAAUAUAGAUUUAAUUAUACUAGAUUUAUGACUUUCUACUUAAUUAACUAUACUCUUAGUUAUACUUUUAGAAAAGUCAAGACUAUGAGAAGUUCAAUCUAUUUUAGGAUUAUAUUUUACUAGCCAUGAUAAAUCAAAAAUGAUUGGAUUAGAAGAAGAUGUAAUGAUAUUAAAUAUUAUAAAGCUACUAUGACUAUUAGUUGCUAUUUCUAUAGGAAGGAUUUCAUGAGUAACAUCUCUUGAAGAUAACGAACGAUGAUCUAUGACUUGUACAUGAACAGGUUUAGUUUAGGGUUUAAGAGAAGGUUCUGAGGAGAGGAUAGGACCUUCACUAAGUAUUGUACAAGGUUCCAGCCGCACAGUCCCUAUUAUAGCUGGACAAAUUUGUUUUCCGAUAAGCUAUCUUCUUUGAUUGCCGUACUCCUCACUUUAUGGUUGCGUCACAUUUUUGGACAAUGUUGAGCAUUGUGCUUAGAUUCUCCACAAUAUAAGCACAAUCCUUCUUGACAACGAUGAGUAUUUUCUUGCUCAAUAAGAGGUUUGAAACAUACUACAUCAAUUUGCAUAUCCUCUACUUUCGAAUGUAUGUUAGUGUUGCUAUUGAAUUGUAGUAACGUUUAGGUUCCCUUAUACAAUUCUCAGAUCAAAAUUCAAAAAGGCGAUUGUCGCACCUCACAACAAAGUCAAUUGCUUGUCUCAAUAUUUUAGAAUCAGGUAAGUUGAGCAUUAAUUUUUUUACCUCAUAUUAUAAUCUAUAGAGAAAUUGGCUAAUAAGUGCAGCAUCAUCCCACUUGAUAUCAUUUGCAAGUUAUCAAAAUUGUGAAGCAUAUAACGUUACUCAUCAAUUGUUUUGUCAUAAAAUACGGAUCUUAUUGGUUGCAACAUGAAUUAUAUCAUGUUUUCCAUACAUGGAUCGAAACUCCACUAAAAAAGCCUUUAGAUUAUCUAAUAUUGGAUCUCAUCGUUUAAGAAAAGAUAAAAACCAUGAUAAUACUGAACUUGAAAGAAGCAUAGCAAUGAAUCUAACUUGUGAUCCUGGAGUUGGAUAGCUUUGGGGUUGAAGUUCAAUCACAAGUUACACUUGAUUGAUAAAUCCUCAAAACUUGGAUCUGAUGCCAUCAAACUUCACGGGCAGAGUAAUUCUUGGUUCUCUAACAACAAAAGGGCGUUCCACUACAGGAGAAGAGACAUGAUUUGGUGCAGAUAUUGAAGCAGCUCCAAUCAUUUCUAUAUCUUCACUUCCUGUCAAUUUUGUUGCUCCUUGUGGUGGUAAAUUGAGUUGAUACAUCGCAAGCAUUAACUUCCUCAAUUGCUCUUGCAUUUGUGACAUUGCACUCUUUAUUUCAACAAGUUCUGCCAUAAUAACACUUAGAAAAGAGAAGAUGUCAAAUAAUCCUCAAGACAAAUAGAAGAGAGGACUUGAGAACAAAGAAAAUACUAAGGACAAUAUCAAUUUAGAAGAGGGUAAUCCGCAACUUCUAAUAUGCUUGUGUCUUAUCAAAAAAAAGGGGGCAAUCCACUCUUAAUCAAGAUUAGACAAAGCUCUAAUAUUAUAAGUGUACUCUUAUUAAUUUGUCAAGGACAAGAACAUGAUAAAGACAAAUAAACAAGUGAGACUUCUCUCAUAGAAAGAUGACAAAAUAGAAAUAACUUGAUAUUUAUAUUAAGAAAGAAACUCGAAUGGCUAUUCCCAAAAGCCAAGAAAACUAAAGACCCUUGAAAUUAGAUUGGAAUCAAGAAAGAAGUUGACAAGAGUGAAGAAGGCUUCACUCUUGUCUCUAUACAUACUAUCUAACUAAGGGCUAUGUGGCGACAUUCUAUAGGACCUCCAAUAUGUGUUGACUUUGUAGGACACAUACCUUGACUUAUAAGGCAAGUUUUUCUACGUGUGGACCACAUAAUUAGCUUGGUCUUCAAGCUAAUAAGAUGUGUGGUGCAUGGCCAACUUAUUGACCACGUUUCUAAUCCCAAAAAGUCAAUUAAAGACACCUAUAAAUUCAAAGUAGUGUCUAUGAAGCUUCUAAGAAGCUUUCAUACCAAAUACUAUAGAAUUAACUUACUUUUAUCUAUUUUUACUUAUUUCUAUCUAUUUAUACAUGUAAUUAUUGGCUUACAUGCAUAUGUCCAUGACAGUAUGUAUGCAGACACACACACACACACACACACACACACACAUAUAUAUAUAUAUAUAUAUAUAUAUAUAUAUAUAAUAUUUUAUACAGUAAAUAUUUUCUAAUAAAAGAAAUUAUAUUUACUCAAAAUUUCAAUACAUUUUUUGGCCUAAAAUUCAUGUAGUGAUAAGCUCCAUUAGUACUAUAUCUAGAAAAAUAUGAUGUCAUUGAAAAAUAUCUUUGAAAACAUUGAAAAUGAUUUAAGCAAAUGAACAUGGUUAUCUAGUUCAUACUAGAAAUAAAGAUGAUAAAACAUUUAAUAUUGUUGGUUAACUAGUGGUUAGUUGAUAUGUUGCAAUGUAUGAUCUAAGUUUAAGCAUUAAAUUUUAUAUUUUUAUAUAUUUUUUUCUACAUAUAAAGUAAGUCUAUUCAAUAACAUAUUUAUAAAAGACACAACAAACAAAACUAUGCAAAUAAGAGACAUUGAUAAUCAAAAAUCAAUAAUAUAUUAAUAGAAGGUGUAUUACAGCUCCAAAAGCUAGAUUAUAUUUAUUUGGAAUGCAUACAGAUGAAGAAAUAUCAAACAUUGUUUGAUCAAUACUACAUUGUCUUAGAAUAUAGCAAUUAAUAUUUAAUUUUAAUGAUAUGCUUAAAUUAUAUUACAACAUGCAAAAAAAUAUAUAUUUUUUUAUUUUUAUUUUUAAACAUGUGUAUACACAAAAUAUAUACAAAUUUUCAUUAAUUUUAUUUUCAAAAAUUUUCAAAAAUGAGUUUUUGAUAACAUGAAUUUACAAUUAUCGUUUUUUCUAAAAUAGUAUAACAAGUGAAAGAUUCUAUUUUAGAAUUAUUAUUAAUGAUUUUUUGAAGUACUCAAUUUUCUAAACAUUCGUGAAUAAUAUGUAAAACAGUUCGUCCAAAAGUUUAUAAUGCAUGUUUUAAAGUGGCAUUAAUAGAAGAUAACAAAGAGUCAAUGGAACAGCUUAAAAAUUUACCAACAACAAAAUAAGUUGAUCAAUUGGGAGUAUUAUUCACAUCAAUUUUAUUAGCAAAUGUAAAUGUAGCAUUGUAAGCUACGAAGCAAAUUUGAAAUAAGUAUUUGUAAUGAUUUACAUUACUAGUUUAUUUGUAGAUAUGUGAUCCAAAAUCCUACAAAAAAAUUGAGUAUAUGAUCAUGGUUUGAUUUUUUUUUCUCUAACAAAAUGCUUCAAGAAUCUAAUAAAAGAUUGGAAUAUUUUCUACCUUUGUCUUUGUUGAAAAAUAAUUCGACUCCAUAACAAUAACUUAAUUGCUCAACAUAAGACUCGAUGUUGUUAAGAGGUUACAUAAGAAGCUGAAGUUAUUUUCUUUUAAAUUAACAAACAGACAAGGUAUUGUAAACAAAGAUGUAAAUGCUUCUGGAAUUAACCAUUGUGUGUGUUUUGUGUUUUUGCAGGAGUUCAUUUUUUUCACUGUUUUUUGUGUAGUUUUUGUGUAGUGCUAAUGAAAGAUGUUUGUAUGUUGUGAUGAGUUGUUGUAUUGUGUAUCAUUGUACACAAAUAACUUGCUUUUGCAGAUUACAUACAAAAACAAGGCAAUGGUCACUAGUACUGGUAAGUGUGUGUAUACAUAGUAUAUUAAUUAUACUUAUGCAUUUAGUGUUCAUAUAAUUUUUACAAUUUAAUGAAUUUUUUUAUCACAAGAGUAUGGUUCAAUAACAACUUAAAGUUUAUUAUUUUUCAGAUUAUAACUAUUUCAUUGUGUGUGUAUCUAUAUUUAUAUAGAGAAUUUUCUUGAUAAAUUCUCUUAACCUUUGAUAAUAUUUCUUCACCUAAUAAGAAUUGAAAUUGAAGUAUUAUUAUUUUACAGAUUCGUGCAAUAUACGUUCAAACUGCUUUUGAUAAAAAAAACCAUAUUAUUUUGUGUCUUAUUAAAGUGAAAAAUGUUCAGCCAAAUCAUACCCAUACUAAAAAUAAAAUAACGUCAAAUAGUUAUUUCUAAUAGGAAGUUGCUGUAUCUAAAGAAAUAUUUGUAAGGACUUUAUUUAUUUACUUAUAACAAAAAAUGAUACUUUUGUGCAAAAUAAAAAAUAAAAUAAAAAAUGACAGUAAGAAUACAAUUGUACUAAAAUACAAUAGACACACACAUUUCCAACACUCUGUUAUUAGUUAUAUAAUUUUGAAGUUUAAAUUUCCAUUCAACAUUUAUUUCUAAAAGUAUACCUAUUGCAUUUAUUUUUCAAUGUAAUUCACACUGUUAUAAAAGUAUUGAAUCUAGUUUGAGUGAUCAAUAUAUAUAUAUAUAUAUAUGAACAAUCAACUUAACUUUGAUGUUGUAGAAAUAUCUCAAAAUAUAUAUUUAAGUCAUUUUUUCAAACAGCCUAUAGGAUUUUGAGGCCAAAAGGGUCUUCUAUCUAGAUACAUCAACAUUGAAUAUCAACAAUUCACCAAAUUCAGUCAAAACUCUUAAUAACAAUAAUCGAUUUUUUCAAGAUAGUUAAAUAUCCAUGACAAAGUUGUACAAUUACCCAAGUCUUGCAAAAUGAAGUGGUAUCACUACAAUUGAGAUACUAUCAAAACAUGGAACACACCAUAAAAAACCAAAACUAUGGCGACUUUCUAAAAAAGAGGAUAAAGUUUGCUAAUGAAGUAAUAGAGAGCAUCAUCACAUUUGAUUCAUCCUCUUUCGCUUUUACGAUGUCUUUUAGGGCUAAAAUCAGCCUCCAAAAUAAUGUAAUAAAAGUGGCAGAGCUUUCAAGGCAAGAAGAGGCGGAUCAUUUGAGGAAAAAGCAGAGGGAAGUGCCAGCUCAGCAAGGCUUCCACUAAUGAUAGCGCAAGCUCAUUGGAUGCCCUGAUCAUGGAUCCACACACUUGGUGCACAUGGAUGAAUGAAUAAGUAAAAUGAUAGAUGAACAAAUGAAUGGAUGAAUGAAGGGAGAGAUGAAGGGAAAUGAUCAUGCAUGCAUACAUGAGCAUGGGCUAUGGCUCCAUCCCUUAUGUCAUUCAUUCCCCAUUGAAUCCCCGUCGUCUCGUUGGUCGCCAUUAGGUCACGCCAUAGCCGCAAAUCGAGCGUCUACUGCUGCUGCUCUUUUCCUAGUCCUCGUCAUUGCCGUCGUCGUCGUCGUCAUCGCUGCCAAUUUGCCACGCCAUUUCCGCGCGGUCACUCGCUCUGCCACACGGAAUUUCUAUUGUACUUUUUAUUUGGUUUUGUUUUGUUUGGGUGUUGUUGUUCGGUUGGUUGUCGGGGGUUUGAGUUUGACACACCGGAUUUGACAUCGCGUUGCAGUUGGUGAUGGUGUUGUGGCGCUUGCUCAUAAGCUUGGUCAUCGUCUGAGUGUUAGAGUAUGGCUUGAUGGAAUAUAGGAGUGGGAGUGGGAGUGGAAUGCCGAUCGUAGUUGCCUUGGGCAGAGGAAAGUUGUAACAGACGAAUUGAGGUGGGAUUUGGUGUUACAGAGGGGCUUUGAUGUGGAUUUGGUAGAGUGGGCCAGCGUUGUAUUGAUUUUAUUAUUAUUAUUUGUUCAUUUACUUUAUUUCGUGAGCGCGUUAGAAGUUGACCAAGAGCACCGAUGGGGAGCUUCGGCAACUGUGCAGAUUGAGGGCUGUGCAUACUUGUUUGGUUUGUUUUGUGGAAUUUUAAUUAGUACUUUGGGAGAGGGGGUCUAAGAGUUGUUGUGUUCAAUGGUGUGUCGGUGGAGGUGGUUGUCGUGUAACUCUGUCGCGUGGGAUGAGGAGUUGGUGAGUAGGUUAUGAAGGGGACGGAUGGAGUGCAUUUGCUUCAUUUUGGAAGCAACCUGGAUCUGUGGAGAAGUGGUGGUGUGUUGACUAAUCAACUAUGAAGGUUUUCUAAGUGCAAACUGGGAUGUCAGGUUUGCUAGACUGUUGUGAUGACGAGGAAGAUGGCAGGGUUGGUGAUCUGGUUGUGCGUGGGAUUCUUCCUCAAUUAGAAGCGGUAAAGUUUAUGGGACAGGUUGAUGUGGUUUGUCAAAGGUAGCGUUUUGGGUGUUCAUGAUCCAGCGAGGGGAUGGGUUUUAGUGGGGCGGAGUAGCAAUUCUCUUAUGAUUGCUGGAGCUGAUUUCAGAAAUUUGUGUCCCUUGCGACGAAAUAUACAAAACCUUUCUUGAGUCUCGCGAAGAGAGAGUCGAAGAAGAGUUUUGAGAGAGGAUAGUGCUGGGCUCUGAAGUUGCCAAUUGUGUCCUAGAUGACCGCAUGAUAAUGUUAACUGCUAGUCGUUGUCAGUCAGCUUGAAGCGCAAUAGAGUGGAUGGGAAGGCAGUGAGUAACCAUCGAGCUUUACCUAAAGGUUCUUUUCAGCUGCAUGGACACCAUUCUAUGACAGGGAAUUUAUGUUUGUCUCUGCGGUAGUCUCGACUUGAAAAAGAUGGCGUUGCUGCCACCUCUUGCUGACUCCGUGAGGAUGUCAGGUACGUCCGACCAUCUCCUACUUUUGUCAUCUCUGCACUGUGGUUUUGUUCUUUCAUUUAUAGUUGCACCUUUUUGAGCUUGAAUUCUUGACAGUUUCACUGCUAGGGCUGUGAUAGUGCUCUCUACAUGUCCGUUGCGGAGUGGGAAAUUCAAAGAACUUAUGACAUGCCAUGUGGCGUUAAUGCCAAUGAGAGCUAUGUCGGGGUUUUGCGUGCUUCGAUGGAAGAUCGAACUGCUUAGCGUCGUUGCAUCUUUGCUUGUAAUCAUUUCGUUGUAGCAAUUGCUUUGUGUUCUCGAUUUGUUUGCAUGGGGUAGUGAUGAAGAGAGGACUGACUAUUCACCAUACAUACAUGGACUGCAGCUACACUGGGGGGUUUGGAUGCACACCCUUCCUUUUACUCGAGUCAUGUGGAUGUGUCUGGAACUGAAAAUUCCCCUCAUGUGGUUCUCACAUUCCAUGGGUCUGAUCCAGAAGAGUUUUCCCAGAAGCACAUUUUGGAAACCGUGGAAUUGAAUGUUUCUACGGACAGUCAAGACGAGUCGCCCUUGCCGCCUGUUCGUCGGAAACGGAUCAUCCGAAGGAAUCCAACAGAAUCCAGUAGUGAAGAUGAGUACGUGCCUAAAACUGUCAGGCGCAAAUCUCGAAUUAGCUAUUGCGAGUCCGACGGUAGCCCAGACGAAGAGGCUGGCCAUGUUCGUCUGCAACAAGUAAAUAUUUAUCCAUUUUUCUCGUAUUGAUCUUGUCUGAUUCUGGCGCAGGAGUCUAAAGCAUAACCCUACAUAGCAUCUCGACACUCGCUUUCGUACUGCAUGGAUGUGAAGGUUUGAGGAAUGUAGAGCAUGUUAAUGAUCUGUUACGUAAAAACAAGCAUCUCGAAGAGAAGCAUAUUACAUGAAGUUUUACAAUACUCAAAGGAAUUUUAUGAUAAGUGAACACGUAAUAAGUUUUUAUGGUCUAAAAGGCACUAAGCAGCAACAAGAACGAAGGAAAUCAGAAACUUAAGCUGGUGUUGGAGCUUCUUUCACAGUCCAAGACUAUUGAAUCCGUUUUGCAUGUUGGUUGUCGAAUUCAUUCAUGGGAGGUAAUAGCUCGUUACCGUAGGCGUAUUUGAAGGAUAAUUUAAGGGUAUUAUAAGACUCGUGACUUAGAGAGGUGGUCAACAUCGCAUGAUGUUUUUAUACGGUUGGGUGGAGAUUCACUCUUGCAAAACCAUAUCAAAGUCAAACAUGUAAUGUGUAAGAGUCAUGUAUUGGGUAUUGGCACUGGCUAUAGUCAACUUCGACAAAUGUGUGUUUUUCCAAGUAUGUCUAGACGACGUCUUCAUUGCAAGUUUACAAUGAUUUCAUACUGGUCUUUCGUAUGUGCUCCCAGGCUGUUGCUACAAAGCCCGAAUUACCGUAUGGCGUGCUGCGCGGUUGUCCAUCUUGUCGCACCUGUCAAAAGGUGACCUUGGAACCUUCUGUUUUGAUCGUCCAGGUUAUGCUUCAUGUAAUUUCACUUCUUCAGUGCCUUCGAAGAUGCAAGGGCUGAAUUUGUACAACUUAAUUUGCUAUUCGAACUAGGUGUUGGCAACUUGGCGGCCGGAUGCUGGUCGAAGGCCCUGUAUUGAUGAGGCCCCCGUUUUUUACCCGACGGAGGAGGUACGUGUUUCACAUCGCAAGUCCUUAGAAUCUGUGUCUUUUAGAUCUACGUCAUACUUUACAGUACUUGUGAUAUCCUUCAGCUCAAACAGCCAACCUUGCCUCAUUGGCUUCUUCAGGAAUUUAAAGAUCCUCUGAGGUAUAUUGCAAGCAUUCGAGCUAGAGCGGAGCCCUAUGGAGUUUGUCGCGUUGUUCCGCCACAGUUAUGGAGACCCCCCUGUCCAUUGCGAGGGGAUUCUGUAGAGGCCCAAAAUAUGGAGUUUCCAACACGUGUGCAGCAGGUUCACAAGCUUCAAAUUCGGCAACCAACUACCAAGGUGUGGUCACCAACAAAACUAGCUAGCAAGAGGCGUAGAGGACGGGCAACAAUCGGUAGAAUGGGAGGUUUAGCCGCUUGCACUACCUCCCCACCUAUUAACGAUCAACCGGAGUACUUUGGAUUUUGGCCCGGAGACCCGUUUCCAUUGAGAGCCUUCGAAAACUAUGCCAAUGACUUCAAAAGUCAGUAUUUCCGCAUCCCUGAACGACAAAGUUCAGAACCUGAUUGGGAGCCUACGGUCAAUAUGAUUGAAGGGGAAUACUGGCGUAUUGUUGAGCAAGCCACGGAACAGAUAGAGGUAUUUCACCAUUUUUUGAAUGUCGAAGCAAGUCGUUGUAAAUUGCUUUGUCAAUUUACUUCAUAGUAUGGGCAUCUCAACCUAAUCAAUAUAUAUAUAUUUAUACAUAUUAAAGGAGUAUUUCCCUGCUCGAUCUUCGAUGUUGUAUUUGGGCUUUAGCUAAUUGGUUCAAAAGUUGAAAAGCACGUCUUUUUUUAGAACGUAAGCGCGGGAUCUACACUUAGAAUGCAGCCCAUCACGAACUUUUGUAUCUCUAGGUGAGUGCAGGUUAAGGAUACGUAAUAAGUCCUGAUUUUUUUGGUCAAAUAUUUGGAGCAGGUUCUAUACGGCGCUGAUGUGGAAACUGGAAAGUUUGGAAGCGGUUUCCCUAAGGCACCACUAGGGUCGGAGGCUGCGACUCAUUAUGAGAAGUCAGGCUGGAAUUUGAAUAAUAUAGCAAGAUAUCCUGGUUCCAUGCUAUCAUUUGAGGAUGGAGACAUUUCUGGGGUGCUUGUGCCGUGGUUGUACAUUGGGAUGUGCUUUUCUUCAUUUUGCUGGGUAAGUAAAAAACCUGACCUGAAUUGAUUUCUCGAAUGUAACAUGCAGUUAUCAAACUUGAGUUGAUGUACAGACUUUAGUGCGUUCUGCAACUUACCAUUUCGCGAUAUGGAUGUUAACCUUGUAGUCCUAAUCUUCAUAAAUUGUGGAGUAUUUUGCAGCAUGUAGAGGACCAUCAUUUUUAUUCCCUCAAUUAUAUGCAUUGGGGUGCACCGAAAAUCUGGUACGGUGUUCCUGGGUCUGCAGCUGACAAAUUAGAGGCAGCAAUGAAGAAACAUUUACCUGACCUGUUCAGUGAGCAACCUGACCUUCUUCACAAACUGGUAAUAUAGCGUACUUCCACACUAGUUACUUCGACCUUCAUGAUACUCAUUUGGGUUUUGUGCCUUUUGGACUGGUUUGCUAUCAUAUCUUCAUUAUAUCUUAUAUGUAAUCAGCAACUUUCUGCCGUGUAGUAUGGUAUAAAGCUAGUUACUUUAGGAGAUGAUGUUCAACCCAAAUUCAGUCAGUGUUGUCUCUUGUUUCGUGGUCUAACUGGCUGAUAUGACUAUCAAAGAAUGACUUCUGUAAAAAUUUGCCGUUCAGGUAACUCAAUUGUCUCCAUCUUUCUUGAAGCCAGAGGGAGUUCCAGUCUACAGGCUUGUGCAGCAGCCGGGCGAUUUUGUGAUCACGUUCCCGAAUGCUUAUCAUUCUGGAUUCAAUGCGGGAUUUAAUGUUGCUGAGGCUGUGAAUGUUGCCCCUGUGGACUGGUUGCCUCAUGGCCAAGCAGCGGUGGAACUUUACAGAGAGCUUCAUCGUAAGACAUCUGUGUCGCAUGACAAACUAUUGUUGGGGGCAGCCAGGGUGGCAGUGAGAAUGUGUUGGCACUCGCAACAAAACGCAGGUGGCUUAAAGCCAAGUUUGGUUUCUUCAUGGCUGGCUUAUUGUGGGGAGGGUGGUAUUCUGGCCAAGGCUCUCAAGGUAAGCAUUGGAUACUUCUCAAAGUAAGCAAUGAACACCUUGUUCUUUAUUAUUAUUAUUAUUAUUAUUAUUAUUUCUGGUGUAUCCGUCCUUUGAUGGCAUCUUUGAUGGUCUUUACAGGCAAGGGUGGAUAUGGAGCGUGUGCAUCGGGAAUCCUUGAAAUCAAGUUCCGGUGAACUGUUGACGUUACCAGCGAAGCAGAUGGACAGCAGCUAUGAUUCUACGGAUGAGCGAGAAUGUGAAACAUGCAAAUAUGAUCUACAUCUGUCGGCUGUGGGGUGUGUAUGUUGUCCCGACAAAUUUACAUGCUUGCUACAUGGCCACCUUCUUUGUUCAUGUCCCUGGAGUAAGAAAACUAUGUUUUACAGGUAUGAUCUAGAGCAGUUAAGCCUAUUAUUGGCUGCUGUCGAAGGUCGUCCUGGGGCUGUUGCUAAUUGGGUUAAGCAGGAUGCUCUGCCACCUAUUCCGUCACCUAGUCUUCGGGACUUGCUGCCUUCCCAAGUUCUGGCUGGGUAUGUACCUAGAGAUAUCAAUCUUCAAAUGCCACAUUCUUCCAUGAGUUCUGCAGUUGUGAAGACUUCUACACAAAUAAACCCCGUAACGUUUGCAGUUAAGAAAAAAAUGGCAACGCAGAAUGUCGGUGGGCUUCAUCAGGUCUACAACGUGCUUAAUUCAGAACCUGAUAACAAGGCUCGGUCCUUUCUGAAGCCCCCCACUUUGGUGAGGAAUUCCGUUCAAGUGGCAUCGGCUCUCAACAAUAAUAACCUUCCGGAGCACAACGGUUCUUUCAUACGCUCAGAAUUGAAGGAUGGGUUAGGCCAUUCGGAAGGUGUAUUCUUCCCGAAGCCCGGCCACGGAAGAAAAAAUGCCCCAGAACAUUCUGGGUGCAGUGUAUCAUUUCAAAGGGAAUUCCUAAACACAAAAUUGGGAUCAACACAACAACCAGCUCGCUCUUCCUCUGAAAAGCUGAACGUGGACGCGUCCAGACCUGAAGUCAUAAUGCUUAGUGAUGAAGAAGAGGAAAUGGCUACCUGCAAGUUGAAGGAAGCAGUGGAAUCUACAUCUCCAGUUCACGAAGCAUCUAGCGUUGUUUCCUCUAGGGCGGCAGAAUGUGAUACGGGCAAUAAUUUAGGGGGUCGAGGAUGUCGAGCACAGCCUCAGGUUGGUUCCGACAUUGCCAGAUGUAGGAGUUCGACCAGUAACCCCCUUAAUAGCUGUGGUGUGUCAUUCCCUGAAGGGGAUCCUUCUCAUGGGUCCCUUGAAGUUGCUAGAGCUGGCGGUAGCAUGAAGCAGCUAGCAUCAGUGACAGCUGUCAGAAUCCCUGUUAAGGAGAGACCAUUGCAUGCCCUUUCAUCGGCGAGUAUUUCUGUUAAACCGGAGGCUGAGGUGUCGAAUGGGCACAUUGCUCCCCCAAGGUCUACGACCGAAUUGGUGACAGUCUUACAACGCAAUGGUAGUGUAUGCGUUCCUCCCAGGGUGGCCCGAGUUCGUGUGAAAAGGGAGGUGGAGCUUCUUGAUAUUGGACGCCUUGUGCUGAGAGAAGGGUGGCAUACUAAUCUCGCUAUUUAUUCAGCAGGUAAUGCUUCUUUGCUUUGAGAUAAGAUUAAGCUAACUUUUGGCAAAUGUUGAGAUGAACUCCCUCUGCGAACAUGAGUAGUCUUGCCUUAGAUAGUUGCUAUUUUUUAAUGUUCACGCUUGUAAUCAUGGUCUUUCCUUCCUCCUGAAUGUAUGCUGUUAAAUAUCAGUUGAUUUGUAGGCAUUUAGCUGGGACGCCUAGUGAUGGUCUCUAAUCAGAAAAGUUCUUUUUGGUUUUAGGCUUUAAAAGCCGCACACGCUUCAUCGAUGUUGAAGAUGUCCUUAAGACGUGCAUUUACGUAUCGGAGAUUAUUGAUCGAGGUUCGAGUGCAAGGCCUUUGUUUCAGGUAAUUUUUGAUACGUUCUUCGCUGCAAGAAAUUCGUCUUAAUUUCAAAUUUCAAAUUUCGGAAAUUUCAGAAGUAGAUUCGUCUACUUCUGAAAGUUUGUGAGGUUCAUUAGAUUCGUUUAGCAGCUAUGAAGCUUAUUAACUUUUGGGUAGUCGCUGGUUCAUCCCUAGUUCUCAUUUGUCGCUCAUCCUUUUCCUUGUUUUCUAGGUUAUACAUCCAACCAAGCGGGAAAUCUACUUGAGUGAGACUAUAGACGGAUGUUGGCGUGACAUUCAGGAUCAGAUUAACGAGGCAAUUAUCGCCCGCCGUUCUGAUAACGUUAAGUUGCAGCUACCUCCUCUCUUACCGCCCCCAAGCGGUCUGGAAAUGUUUGGCCUUACAACGACCUCCAUUGUCGAGGUAAAGAUCAUUCAACUUCUGAUGACAUCGUUGAUCAACGUUUCAUUCAUGCAAUAGGUGAAGCCUGGAGAAAUUAAUGAUGCGAAUAGAUGUCAUGCAUGCUUGAAUCCAAUUCUUUGGUUUUUCUUCAAAAUAUGAAUGUAUGGGUAUAUCCGUCACGUGUUUUGUUCCCCUUUACAGUUUACUCGUCCUUGCAAACCUGUUUCUCAAAAUUCAACCUUAGACUUGAGGCGCAUCAGCUGAUCUGAGAACCAUGUAUUUGUUCUGCAGGCUAUGGAGGCGCUGGAUUCUUUCCACCAAUGCUCUGAUUAUUGGAAUGGCAAGCAGGCUCUUGUAAAGCAGAACUUCAGACCCGAUCUAGCAGAGCCUGAGUUUCGGAGAGCAGGGAUCAGUGUGGGCCGGUUAAAGGAGGAGUGUCUGGAACUGCCUUUGAGGGCUAUGCCAGACAGAGCACCACAAGAUAGGAUUGUAAAUAUAAAUAGCAGGUCAUCUGUGAAUAUUAACAACACGAAGAAUACUUCAGGACAUGCUUUUGAGCAGGGGAAUCCUGCAAGGCAAGGAGUUAUGUCGAGCGGCUUCCGUAAUGAAAGGCAGGAUGCGUACUCCACUCUUCAAAGUCUCUUUCAAAGGGCAACUUCAGCAGAGUUGAGGGUCUUGUACCGCUUAUUCACCACUGAGACACAGGGGACUGAUUGGAGCUCUGCAUUCCGAGCUCUUACUGAAGAAGUUCAAAAAAGAUUUUUGUGAUUAAGAACAGAUACUUUGACACUAUCAUUGAAUUUAUACCACUGCAAUUGUGGGUCAGCAGCAGUAGGUUCUAGUGAAAAAGAAUUCGGAACGACUGGUUUUUCAAAAGGAUGAUUAUUUUAUUACUCAAGUAGAGCCUUGCAAUUGAAGGCGCCCUGGAUUACAUUAUGGCCACGAAGUGGCUCAUUUAGACUCCUUUUAUCUGAAGCUGGGGAUACUUCAGGGGAUACUGAUCUUGUUGCUGAAAGAAUGUAAGUCCCUAAGGCUACAUAGAGUAUAGCUCAUGUCAAUGCUCAUUGAACUUAGAAGUUCUGGAGUUUUUUUGUCCGCGCUUCGGUUUUUCAGAAUGUACUUCCUAAUUAGAUCUUCCUUUGCAUGUUGGAAUUACGCAGAUCUAGAAUUGUUCACCUAUUGUCACUAUUUGCAGUUGGAUCAUGCUGAAGAUUAAGUUGAUAGGUUGGAAUGACGUAAUCAAAUCUAACGAGAUCAUAGAAAAACCAGUCGCGCAACUGAAAACAUCUUUAGUCCUAUCAAAGUGCGGCGUUGUUCAACAAGCCUACCUUUGGAGGUCCCAUCUGGUGGUUGAAGCAUUGUUUGAAAGUCUCCCUUGCAAAUUUGACGCCACUUAAUUCACGUCAGAACCAUUUGGCUUUUGAGCAGCCCUUCUGAACCUUAUUGGAACUUGUCUGCUCCAACAUGGACCGGUGCCAAGCCAUUUUGGUAUACGUAACUUUCAAAGAUCCUAUUGAAUGGGGGAAGUAAAUAUGCAGAAGCAGACAUUAAAGAGAGAUUGGGACUAAAUGUUUAUCUUUCUUGAAAUAAAUGACGCUUGUUGCCCAUACUGAAGUGAAAUCCGGUUACAGCUGGAAUUGAAGAUGCCAUGGAUUACCAUCAGCUCUCCAGAUUGUCCACAGAACCAGCCACCAACCGGCUACGAAGUUACCCUCAUUGUAGGUGCAGAACUCAGCAUGACCAAAACGGGUAUGUCGAUGAGCUGAUCGACCAGUACAAAUUCAAGGUCGUUGUAUAUAAUUGUCCAGGGGUUUUGAGGUCACCAGAAUAUAGAAAUUAACUUUGCAUCUUGUAAUUCAGACAGGAGUUGGCUGCAACUUAGCUAGGUAUUGAUAGUUUCUGACUGGGUGCCUAGCUCAAGCAUUUAGUUCAUCAGAUCGAAAUAUUAUUUUAAAUGGUUCUAAAUGGAAAUCUUUAUCCACAAUUUGAAGCUUCUUGUGCUGUUUUUCUACGUUGACUAUUAGAGUAUAGAUUGUUAUUUAAGACUGAUAUUAGAAUGGGCCACAAUGUAGCGGUGAUUGGCGUGUCUUGUUCCUUUCUAUAUUAUGAGAUAAAUGAAAUGAAAUUAAUUUACUGAGACAAAUUUAACUGGAAAAGAUGUGGAAGUAGAUAUAUAAUAAACAUCAAUAACACACUAUUAAAACGUAUUAGCAAAAUUAGUUUAAAAUAAGAUUUUAAAUAUUUCUAAGUAUUCAAUUUGAAUGAUUUUUUUGGAGGUUUUUUAACUUUAUAAUUUUUUGUUAAGUUAUUACAGUCUAAUAUAUUUUUAAUUAAUACUUCUGAAAAUAUAUUGCAGUAUCAAAAUAGAGAAGUAGAAAAUUACAAGCCACAGUAUUAACAGCCAGCCAAAAGAGGAAUUGGCGAGAUUAAGAAUGAUUAUAACUUUAUUUCUUUUUAUGUUAGCCAUAAAACAUACAGAGUACUGUCUUGACUUUUAGUAACUUACCAUACUCACAUAUUAAGGUGACUUUAUUUUGUUGAAUUAUAUUGUUUUUCAAAUUUCCACUCGUGGCUAGGACAAUCAAUAUCACAAAUAUUAUUUAAUGAAGACUGCAAAUCUUUUACCGACAUGCCAUUCAAAUACGUGCAAUUUUCCCAAUUAUUAUCCUAACACCAAAAGUAAGAAAUUAAUCUAAAAUCACUUCAACAUAUAAUGUAUUAAAUAAAAGAGCUUACAAGUGUUCAAAAGCGCAACUUUAAACCCACCCACUCACACAUCAGACGAGAAUAGAAACAUCGUCGACGGAGCAGUUCGUCGCGGGGCCAGACUGAGCUGGUCGAUGAGGGAGCGCCAACGCUCACGAGCAGUCCCCACUCGCAGUUGCCAUUUCUAUCAGACAUGAAUCGUAAUGCCGUGGAAUCCAUGAGGCGAGAAGAGAGCAUGAGAAUCCAUCGCACUUCAGCGAGGCUGUACCAGCUAUGCCCACAAUGCGAACUCGCCUCACGCAGCCCAUGUUGAGUUGCUGAUAGAAGCUCAGGAUUGACGGAGUUGGAUCCUCAUCAGAAUCUGAGCUCUGAAGGUGCUGCUUUACUUCUCUCUUGUUCUCUCUGUGUGGUGGAUUCCACGGGGUAAUGGGUACUUGGAUGCCGUUCCAUCUUCCAUCGUUCGGCGUUGUUGUGGUUGGGUUGUGAGGUGACGACGAUUCUGGUUUCGGGAUGGCGUUACGGUAGCCCUGCGGUCGGGGGAGAGCAGCUCAUGGUAGAGUGCUGGGUUCAAGACCCGUGUGGUGAUGCGACAGAGCUGCACUUUCUUUCCACGAGGAGUCUAGGAAUGUGCUAGCUCUGAUUGAGAGGAAGUUUGAGUUGCAUGGUUGUUGACGACGGUGGUAAAGGGUCGUUUUUGUUCUGUGAGGUUGGACCUGCGGACCCCGUGACGUUUAUGCAGGAGCUGUAUAUUGCAACUGAAACUAUGGGCCACCUCAACAUCAAAGAUAUCCUAGGAAUCUUGGGUGAGGCUCGAGCCUUCUCUACGUGAUGUUUCAUGUUGUUUGGGUGAAUCUGUUGUUGAUACCCUUUUACAACCUCACCUUGCUAAGCAGCAAUAUCACGUUUCACAUUGGGCACUACUAAUACCAUGAUUCUAUUUUGUUUUAUUUUUGUGACAUGUCCACUCGUUUGAAAACUGGACGCAUCGUAAAAGCUGUAAUUGUGUGAAAUUUCAUCAGUCUCUUCAGUUUCAAGACUAAAUUCCCAAUUCACAAUGGCGGGCUUAGAAAAACACACAAGAUUCGAUACUUUUCUUUGGUCGUUCCUGAAUAUUCCUAAGAGACCGAGAACUUGCUAUAAUCGCACAUUGAAGUCGGUCUCGGAGUAUUGGAACAAGACCUGUGAGGUUUCAAGCCCGUCUGUUCUAUUCAUUUCGCCGUCAACCUUGGAAGAAACCCACCAAUUUAGUCUGAUAACGUGCGCCACAAUGACUUUUCUAUAGUAAUCUUCUAUGACGGGGUUCAGAAACUGUCUCAUCCUCCCAGUAUGCAUUACAUUAUUACGGGCAAUAAAACGCUAGGAUAGUCCGAUGUAGAAUCCAGUAGAUAGAGUCUUGUUCGAUUAUUUCUUCUUAUGACCAGCAAGUUCAAGAAGGCGUCGAUGGCUCAAGGUGAAACGGCAUGUGUAUCACUUUUGAAGUUCUAGUGAUAUUAAUUACAGAAUUCCAUAUCUCGUUCAUUUUUCCACAUUCAUACUGUCAAGUAACUUUUUUAUUUCUGCCGCUUGUGUUCAGGAAACAUUACUGCUAUCUGUUUGAUUACCUCACCGAUGUAAGUUCACGUUGACAUUUUCUAACGACAGACAGUGCAGCCUGAAACUUGAUUGUGUCUCUCAUAUUUGAAAACGAAUCAAACAUGUUUCUCAUAGUGGGUGGACAGAAUAAUAUGCAGAAAAUGCUACUGGAUUUUUAAAAAAGAGCCGAUUUUAUUCAGGCCUAAACAUGCAUGUUGAAUCUGAACUUGUAAACAGUAGUGCGCAUAGAAAUUGUCAUGCAUACGAAGCACCACGUUUUUGUGAGCCUAGAAAUAUACAUACAUACAUAUAUGCAUGAGUGUUCGCAUGUUGAGUGUGCGAGUCUCUUGUAACUUCUACAGUCCCACCUUCGUCGACAUCGUCAAGAGGAAGUCAGUGGGAGACUACUCUGGCAUCCCCUAUAUAUGCACCCUUCUCAAUUGCCUGCUCUGGGUCGUGUAUGGCCUCCCGGUGGUUGAGCUUCAAGUGUUAGUGGUCACCAUCAACGCAGCCGGCGUUGUGAUUGAGAUGAUAUACAUCGGGUUAUAUUUGAAGAAUGCGCAGAGAAGCGUCAGGGUAAAUUCGACAAUCAAAAACGUCUUUUUACAUAGACAUCAGUUCCUGUGUUGAUGUUAAAUAAGGACGAUCCCUAGACAAGUUAAUGCUGAUUUCGACCUGCCCUUAGCUGCGUUUUGUCUGUGACCGCAGGUUAAGGUGAUGAAGGUUUUGCUAGCAGUUUUGAUCCUGUUCACUGCGAUUGCGGUGCUCGUGUUCGUACUCAUCCACGACAGAAAGACCCGCAAGCUUCUUGUUGGGACACUUUGCGCUGUAUUUGGAGUCGGAAUGUAUAUUUCGCCCCUUGCAGUCAUGGUGCGCCCUCUUGUCCCAACAAUCUUCAAGUAAACUGUCGGUUGUUUGAAGAACUGCUCUACGAUAAAUUGCUUUCUUUCUUCCUUUCUCUUCCUCUUCUUUUUCCUCAAUAUGGAACUUAUCCAACUUUCUUAUGCUUUGACAUACAGAGGUUGGUAAUCUGGACCAGAAGUGUUGAAUAUAUGCCUUUCUUGCUCUCCCUGUUCAACUUCAUCAAUGGACUCGUUUGGUUUGGCUACGCGGUUAUUGGCCACCUUGAUAUCUUCAUUGCAGUAAGUCUCCACACGGACUCCCACCUGUGUAGCUAGUUUUAAUGUUUGCUUCCGCUAUAUGUUAGUAAUCUCACAACAAUACAAACCGGAUGAUUCAUUGUUACCUUGAAAUCGUCAUUCAUGUUAACCACGCUCCAUUUGUAACUGACUGGUUUCAGAUUCCCAACUGCCUCGGUGCUCUGUCUGGUGUUGCCCAAUUGUCACUCUAUGCUUACUUCCGACCUGCGACACCGACAGUUCGUGACCGGAAUGAAGAAAAAGGCAACUCCAUGAAGUGGGUCUCGAGUUCCGUGUCCAUCCUGGUGGAGCAGAACGACCAUCCUCCCUUAAAUCAACCUUGUGGAUCUAUCGAGGCUCUUCAAAUUUGCGAGAAAGCGAGCAACUGAUGACAUUAUCUUUGUUCAGUCAUCCUGUUCUGUGAUACUGAGCUCGAUGUCUCUGAUUAUAAAUUAAUGGAUUCUGCCAGUGGAUGAUGGACAAGAUUGUUGAUAGCCUAAAAGAAAACAAGCCUAUCAAUUUCAUGACAGCACAUGAAAUUAGUUGUCGGUAAGGAUUAGAACUUACUGACAGUUGCUGUCUGCCUGCUCAUUGACAGCCAUACACCGACUUUUUGUAACGAUGAGAUUUUAGAUGUUCCAUCGUUGCCUACUGUGAAUUCAAUGUAAGUCUUACAGUAUAAUUUUUCUUUUCUUUUUUAUUUAUUUAUUUAUUUUUCAAUCCAACUUUGUCUUUAUAUUUUGCAAGGUUAUGAUUUAGUUGAUGUAUGCAAACAAUAAAGUGUACAAGUUUCUUAAAUUUGCUCUUUAAGUUGUCAAACGUUUUUUGUUCCUAUAUCUUUCAUGGAAUUUAAUUCCAUCUUUCAGUUUUUUGAUUUAAUAGUGAAAUUAAAGUAAUUUUUGAUGAUAGGAACUAAUGAAGGAAAAUGGAACAGAUUAUGUAUAUCUAUAUCUAUAUCUAUAUAUAUAAUUCUAAUACACAAUAUUUAUACUUUAUUUUUGAAUAUUGCAAUGCAAUGAUAGUUAUCUAUAUAUAUACUUAGGUUGUUUUGUAAUAUGCAAUAUAAAGGUAACACAACUAUCAUAAAUAUGUCUUAUAAUUAUUGUCAUCAAAUUGAUGGUAAAAUGUUGAAUAACAGGUUUAGAAGAAAAAAUUUAAUAAAUUAGUAAUUUACAAAUAGAUAAAAAUUUAAUGCCUUUUCUACCUAUUGUUUACCUAAGAAGAAUUUAUUUGCUUGCGUGGAUAAUACCCAUCAAAGGAACCAGAUGGAAAGACAUUAAUGAAAUAAUAAAUGACGAAAUAAGGAAUAAUAGAUGAUAUUGCCACAAUUAACGGAGACAUAGCUCAAGAUCAAAGACUAUUUAUGGAUAAAAGAAAUACAAUAAUGAUAGUUGAGAAUUAUCACAAUGCAUAAGCUAGUCUUAGGCAAUAGCUCUGCGAGGUAGAAUAGUGCUGAGCCAAAGACCAUAUAAUUCUAAUUGAAUUAAUAAAUAAAACUUGUUUUCCAAUCAUCAUGUCUUUUGCAUUUGAUUUUACAAGGUGGUAUCUUAUGCUUGCUCAUAAUUUUAAAAGCUUAAGUAACACUAUCAUUGAAGUGAGGUUUUAGAAGAGAAUAUUAUUUUUAUAUGAUAAAAUGUGUAGAGGCUUAAUAUAAAUCAAUUGAGUAUAAAUGAUAUGUUGCAUAGAAGGAUAGAAUAAUUAUAUCUAUUGCAACACUAUUUACAGUCUUGUCGUUUAGAAGUGUGAAAUUAUGUUGGAUACAAAAAUUGGCAAGUAUUUAGUUGGAUAGUAAAUCCAAAACACCAUGCACUUCCUAAAAUGACUUAUUUCAAGUUAAUUGAUUUUUAUCUCAAUUUUUUUGUUUUUGCUAUAGUGGAUGAUUUUUUUGAAGUUUAUCCUACUCUCUUAUGCUUUGACAUACAAAAGUUGGUAAUCCAGAUCCAAAGUAUUAAAUACAUCCCACUUUUUUUUGUCCUUGUUCAACUUUAUUAAUGGACUAGUUUGAUUUGGCCAUUUGAUUAUCAAUUACCUUCAUAUCUUUAUAACAAUAAGUCUAAUUCAUUUAACAAUAAGUAUGUAUUUUAAAUAUACAUUAUUUAGAUUAUAUAUAUAUCUAAAAUUAUGCUUAGAUUAUUUUGUAACAUACAAUAUGAAGUUGACAUAGCUAUCAUAAAUAUAUCUUACAAUUGUGACCAUUAAGUUGUUGGAAAAAUAUUGGAUAAUGAAUUUAUAUAAAAAAAUAGCUAGCAAAUUAUCAAUUUGGAAAUAUGUAAGAAGUUGACACUUUUCCUACUAUUGAUGUUGGAUGUAUAUGAAAGAACAUUAUUUGUAUAUGAUUAAAAGUGUAUUGGCUUGAUUUAAGUGGAUAAAACAAAAAUAAUAGGUGGCUGAGAUGAAUAAAUUAACCAUGCACAUUAAGACAUUAUUCACUUUCUUCUCAUUGACAAGCGUAAAAACUAUUCAAUUUUUAUGAAGAUUACAAAUGCAAUACACCAUGCACUUGAUAAAAUAAAUUCUUUGUCAUUUGAUCUUGACUGCAUAAUUUUUGUCAUUGUUGCAAUAGAUGAUUUUUUUUUAAAGAAUAAAUAAAUGAAUGGUUAUUUUAAUGCAUUUGUAUCCAUUAGGGCAUUCUCUUUACAAUUGUCACUGUGAAGGUUUUUAAGGUUGCUAUACUCUCACAGUGGAGUAAGGUAGGUCCAUGAACCAAAAUGACUUUUGUGUCAUUUGAUUUUACACAAAAUGACUUUUGUGUCAUUUGAUUUUUCACAAAAUGACUUUUGUGUCAUUUGAUUUUACACAAAAUGACUUUUGUGUCAUCUGAUGUGCAUUUGUAUACACUAAGUCAUUGUCUUAUAGAAAAUGACAUAUUAUAAAAGAUCUAAAGAUCGAUAAGAAUUAAAAAGAAAAAUAUUAAAAAGAUUGUCUAGUAGCACAAGGACCGUAAUUCUUGGCUUCACGAACACUUUUUCUUUAGUUUCGUCGCCGUAAAAGAAUAGCGGUGAUUGAGAAGGGAUUUUUCCUAUCAGUGGUGUCAUGAGUUCAAUAUACUGAUCCGUGUUGAUAUGCUUGAAACGAUCCUCCAUGAUUCCCGACUAGCAUGUCCCAUGCUUACGGAGUACUGGGGGGUGAAACACUAUUCACAUUUACAGAGUACUAAACAAGUUCUCGUCUGUUGAUUCGUGUGCACACAAGCUUGCGGGGAAAAGACUCGUCUAAGAGGCUUAGUAUCCAAGAGCUGGUUCCACAAUGUCGCUUCAUCACCUCUUUUGAAUAAAUCUUAGCAUUCAGAAGCAUUUCAGCUGCAAAGAAAUCGUUGUUAAAUUAGAUCCAUGAAUCAGAUGGUCGUGCAAAUUGAGCUUCUACCGAUGGGUACAUAGAAAUUCUAAUUUCAGAAAGACAUGAGUGUCUGGAGAAAAUGAGAUUUUGUACAUUAGACGUGGGCCGAUUUGAAAUCAAAAGGUGUAGGUGAUUGUUUUUCACGAAGUAUAAGCCUAGCAGGUUCGAUCGGCUGGUGACGCAGUUGUCUGCAAAGAGCGCGCCUGAAAAUUUUGGAGACUGACAGCUGCUCGAAAUUUUCACAUAGCCAAGAUAAUGCUUGUUAGCAUGACAUUAUACGAAACGACACACAAAGGAGCUAUUUAUCGAUGAAGAAGACGCAUCGGAAUCUCAUAUCCACACAUGUAACCAAGCUUUAAAUCCUUAACCUUCAAAGAAACUCAUUCAACAGAGGGACAAUUCCUUGAACCGAGACCCACAAACACUGACCGUGAAACGGACGCGUCGGGGUAGUUUGGGAGGGGCACUCUUAGUGAGAGCUUUCCUUGGAGUUCCUGAACCUUUCCGCCGCUGCACCACGAGAUUUGCAGGUUCUUCCUUUCCCACGGACUGCAUCGUUGGUGAGUUCUUAAGAACAAUUGCCUCACCUUCGCUACUCACAUAACCACUCGAAGUUGAACCUCCCUGCUUGUCAAGAAGACCAGUUUCUUCAACCAAUGCUGAGGUUGAUGCCUUCCUUCUUAUCUGUGCCGAAGCCUCAUUGAGCUCUAAAGAUUGAAAGUAGUUGACGAGAGUGGCCUCUGGGCAGUGUGCUGUGCCUUUCAGCUGAGAACUUCUAAAUUUAGAAGUAUAUUUGCCAGUUUUAGAGAGCUUGAGGAGAGAACCAACGUCAUUAGAAGCUCCUUUCGACCUAUGACCAUCAUGUUCUCUUGCAGAGAUAUCCACCGCAGUUGGAGCUAAGGCCGGAAUCAAUGUAAGUGGAGGCUCAUCGGAAACCUGAGGAUCAGGAUGAUGAGUCAUGCUGUUCAUAGGGCUCGAAUAUUCAGAGAGAUCCUCUUGAAUAGAUCCGUAUGAAGCGCUGGCGCUAGAUUUGGACACCGAUUGUCUAGAACAGUUUCCAAAAUCUUCGAAGUCUCGGCUUGAAAACAUAAUGUUAGACGCUGAAGUCUGGGCACUGCUCUCGUCAGGACCACACAAGAUGCUUGUGGGGGACGAGGGCGCAUUGAGAUGGCUGUUCUGUAUGCACGAAGCAGAGUAUUUAUCCUCUGAACUGAACAAAUUUCUGCGAUUCAAAGUCGUUGAAUUUGUUGACGGUAGUGGAUCAAUCAGUGACAUAUCGGAGCUGCUAAAGCUUGAAGUUUUCUCCUUGAAAGACUGUUGACUACAUGAUUUAGACAUUUUGAUCUGGCAUCCUUCGCGAGGAGUCGAGCUGCAGCGACCCACAAGACCAUGUCGUUUUCGACGCUCCGCUGAACCAGGGGCUCUUGGAGGAAGCUUUUUACUAGAAGCAUGCUUCAACAAUGUUCGCUCACCUCGUUUCCGAUGUGCUGGCGAAGAGGUUUGUAUGCAGGGAGCGAAGAAACCUGCGAAGGGGUGGGAAGCUCGAAGCUCGCGACUAAAGCUCUCGGCACUACAAUACGACGAAACAGCAAGCCGAGGAGGUAGUUGUAGCAAAUUAGGACUUCGUGCUACUAUCUCCACUUUGGCUUUCCCUGGAGCAUCCUCCCACUCGAAAGGCACAGAAAAUGCCGGCGAACCGUUAUGCAUACUUGGUGUGCUCCAGGGUGAUUCAAACGCCUUCACCAAGAAUCUUGCCGCUGCAGAUCCGUCGAAGUCAAUGUAGGUGUCUCCUCCAUGUAUACUAUACCUUCUGCUUGACCGUUCAAAACCAGCAUUUCUUAAAUUCCCUCUCAAAUAUGCUUCGCCGUAGUACCUAUGGCUGCCAGUCCGCCCUGCGUCAAGUUUUCCAGUACCCGGGGAGCUUUGUGUCGAUGAACUUCGUAUGUGGGCAGUUCCUCUUCGGGGAAUGCCAUCCUCCGUCACUUCCGUGGAAGGUUUUUCUUCGGACUUGUGCGAACCUGAUUGAGCUUCUGCAAAAUUACUCACCUCAAUGCUUUCUCGUGAAACCCUUCGAGCUAGCAUACGAUCUGCAGCGUCGGCUAUGGUCUUGGGUAUACCUGGCUCCUCCUCCCACUUGAAUGGAACCGCAGCCAGCACAGAUGGGGUGUGGUCAGGAGACGAAUUGCUGACAUUGGUCGCCUUGGGCCUCUGCGCAUGCUUACGAACGGCAACCACCUGCUCUUGUAUGGAACCAUUAUUUAACCUUGACGUCGGAGUGGACAGGUUUUCUAGUGAGAACUCUGCACAUCUACGAGGACUACCUCGAUGAUCAGAUGAAGAAUUCCCCUGUAGCCUCUUUUCUCCAAGGUUAAACGUAAUCUCUAGCUCACCGAGCGCGUUCUCUUCAGCCUUGGAUUGGAAUUGGCUUGGAAUCGGGUGCUUCUUAUUCACUGAGGUGGGGCUGCUCUUGAUAAUGCCGUUGGACGAUGUUGGUUGACUUGUCUUAAGCCUUUGGUCAUCUUUCCCAGCGGCCUUUCUAGUGUUCUCUUUGUGGUAUUUUCCAGCGCUCUCUUCCACCAGUCUUGGGCUAGACGGAUGAGCCUUCAAAUCCUUCAACCUUCUAAGAAUCUCACCUCUUCCUGAUGAAGGUGCGACACGCAAAACGAUUUUUUUGCAAGCUUCAACCUGCAACUUAUUCAGACGAUCUCCUAAUUGCGCAUCACAUCCUUGUUCAUCAUUAGCAGGUGCACUUAGCAACGCGACAGAUUCGGUUGAGUCCAGAAGUUUCUUCAGCUGUCUUGGUGACUUUAGAUGCCCAGAUUGGACUCCAAAAGAUUCCACUGUUCCGUUUCGUUCGGACGGAGGGCUUCCACCUGGAUUCUCCGCCAAGAUCCUACAUUUAUCAAUCUUCUUUGUAUUGGUUUCUCUGCAGCUAUGUGCAUCCCUCUGCAGCAUUGUCUGCAAGCUGUCGCUACAUUGUGAGUCCAACGGAAAGAGGAAGCUGCUCGCCCAGGCUGCAAUUUCCUGCCUACCCAGUGGCCAGCCUGCAGUCUCUCCGACCCUGAUACUCACCUCUCCGUUGAAAUCGCUCAUACUAUGACCGACUUUGCUACUGGGUUGUGGGUUUGAGGCAGUGUGAGAUUCGGACUUUGCACCGAGUCGGUGACGAUUGGAGGAGACAGGAUAGAGAGGAAGCUCUCCAUCAUCACCGUUCAAGUCACCAGUGUCUGGAGGAACUCCAGCAUGCUUGACCCUACAAAUGCGUUUAUCAUGAACGCGAGUUGCUUCCUUAACAGUGCGGUGCUUGCCACUGCCAGUGAUCCCCCUAUUUUCUCCCAUCAGUCACCCAAUCACUCUUUGAGAAUCAUACGCGUGAAAUGCGCUACAUGUAAACGAUUCGCACACUUACUAAAAUGUACACAGACAGGGGCAGUAACAAAACCUUUGCAUUGCACUCAGUCCGGAUCCAAGAAAAUAUUCAAUGAAAUUUCACUCGCAGGUACGUAGUAACGUUCUGACAACCAGUAAUGAAAUCUUCUACUCGACGGCUCAAUAGUCUUCGAUGUGAUCACUAAUCUUCUUUCGAAUGCACCUGAUCAAACUCUGUAUUCGUUAGACUGAUUCGAACCGCUAAGCUUCGACAGCUGAUGACUUCAUCCGUGAGCAAAGAACUAAGCGAGCGAUCUAAUUCGAAAACAUUGCACUGCACUCGUUCACUGCAUGACUUGCAGUAAUCAGGAGCACCGCAAGCAGUACUGUGGUGAGAGCUACUGCUGUGGGGUUCGUACUCUUCGAGCCUCGAAGUCAGUACGAAUAAAAUCAGUGUCGGUGGCAUUCGAUGGUAAGGCAUUCGAUGGUAAGGCAUUCAGAUGUCGAUGUCAUUUCUUUCACGGACUCGAAACCGAAAAGGAAAGUCGUGCUAUCUCCUCGAUGGUCCGAGCUAAUUAAACCCGCGCUCACUCACAAAUAAUACCAGCUAGUGGUGGAUGGACGAGGAAAAUCUCCCGCAUAAUUCUGAGCACAUAUGUGUAUGUACUGACAUCUGCUAGACCUAUUUGGCGUCCACAAAAGUGCAUUUUACCGGCAUAUCCUCCAGCAACAGAAUGAAUUUACCUCCACUAGCCUUGCAGUGUCCAAAGGUUAUCUUCAUCCAUGGGUGAGUGAGAGUGGAACCGAUUCUCUCCGGCCCUCCUCCACUGGUCCGUGCGAAACGAGAAAGGAUAUUUACACACAGAAAGAUACAACGGAAAGUUAUGAAACACUAAUUGGCCGGUGACCGCAAAGCCCGCAUCUAUAUGCCAACAAGCACCACCCACUAGCAGCACCCUGGAGCAUCUAGCUGUGGCAGAUAGAAGGAAGGGAGAAAAAUGCCAUUGCUGCAGCUCUAGACUGUCGCGAUGGAAGUCAAUAGAGGGGUAUUUUUAGGUGCGUCUCGGCGCGAUGCCGGUGGCUGGGCCGAUAACCACUGUCCUCGAGCUCCGCGACGCUGCAUGGGUGGCGCCAAUCCGCCUGAGCAGUUUGGGAGAUUGGACAUGCAGCUGAAGCAGCAGAAGCAUCAGCAGUGAAUUAUUUGCGUGGGGCACUGUCGUUGUCUCUCCGCAGCAGCCGUGAGAAAAUCGCGUCUGCAAUCCAACUGCAGGGGUGUCGAGAUGGAUGAUUCCAGAUCGGUGGUUUCAUCGCAGCGAGUUCUACUGUCCAUGGCUUUUGGCUAAACAUGCAUCAUGGGUGCCUCAGAAACACUGACGAACAUUCCUCCUGGUGUGGCGUUGCGCAUGCUCAUCACACAUCUUCGCGACCAAGUCCACCGUCAUCUUAUGAGCCUCGAAUCCUUGCCGCAUGAAUGCCGCCGCUCCCUCUCCCUCCCUCCGUUCGUCCGACCCGUCUUACUUGCGUGACGACGAGCACGGCGGUGUUUUAUAUUGAAAUAAAAGUUAUGAAAUGGUACCAUUCAAUGCUGUCUAUGAGAUUGCACACCAAACAAUACCAUUUCUUUACCAGGAGAGAAAACAAAAUUUUACUUUUCUUUACUUUAAAUUAAAAGUGAUACAUACUAAUGUCUUCCAUGUCCUUUAUUAGUGAAAAUUGAGUGUUCAUAUUAUUUAACGUAGAAGAACUAGAACUAUGUCCCACAUCGAAGGGCAUGUGGAUACGCCUUUGAGAAAUUACAAAUCAUAUGAAUUUUUAUAUUGUAACUCAAACUUAACAUUACUCGAUUUUGGUUCAAAAAAUAAUAUGCAUAAUUUUUUUGUUGUAGAUCAUGUUUGAUAAUUUCUAUACUAUUAGAAACAAAAAAUAAGUUAAUUCAAUAAAUUGACUUAAAAUAGCAUGUACGAUAAUAUUUGUGCUAAAAUUGGUAAUUUUAAAAUUUGAAUCAAAUUUUGUAAUAUCACUUUGUUCAUGCAUUUUGAUUUUGUUAAGCUUAUAUUCAAUAUAUUCUACAUAUUAACAAAUUAUCAACCAUUUUAAACUCAAGUUUAAAUAACAUAAGAAAAUAUUAUUCAAUUGAAAGAUUUUUUCUACAAAGUUUGUUUCUUCAAAUAAUUGUAUGUAUCUGUGUAAACAGGUAUGUAUGCAUAUAUAUAUAUAUAUAUAUAUAUGUUUAUGAUUAUUCAUAACCAAAAAAGCUAACAACACAACCAUUUGAUGCAAUUGGUUGGAUUGUGGUCCACCAAUUAAACAAUUAUCCUCAAUGCUUGAAUGAAUAAGAAGGAUUGUGUAAAUGAGAUGCUUGAUUGUGUUGUCUUUUGGUGUAAACAAGGAUAGAAAAGAAAUGAUAGUUGUUCUUCAAUCAAGAUUUCAAAUCUUCAUAUGUUUAAAUUUAAUUAGAAAAAUUCUUUUGUUUUCCUCUGUUGGUGAACAAGUUAACAGGGUGUUAGGAGAGUAAAGUUAUGGUAAAUGUAGAAACUAAAAUAAGCAAACAGACAAACCAAUGAAUUAAAAUCGAUGCUGAAAAGGAGGACCUCUACUCUAAGGAAGGUUCUACGGAUUGGCUAAAUUCCAACUCCACGUCACCAACCAAUCAAACAAUUUAACUUGCAUGAAAGGGAUUUUCAAAAAAGAAAAAUGCCAAAAGGUCAAAGGAAAGGAAGAUAGAGGGAGGGAGAAAGUGUGAGAAAGGGCAUUGAUGGCGGUGCAUCUUUUGAGGGAAUUAUAUCAACAUGGAUUUAAGGGUCUGACUAGUAAUGUUACCAUGUCAUAGCAUUGACUAGUUGUGUUGCAAUGUUAUGGGAUUGUUUCUUACAAGGAAGGACUGGGUUACAAGUCAAACUGUUUAGCAGACCAUUUGGGCCAUGCAUUUUUGGUUACUAUAUUUAAUCAAUUGGUCACUUUGAGGAGAAGGAGGUUCUUCAUUAAUUUCAGUUGCUUUGAUAACAUAGAGGUUGGUAGAAGAUACCAUGCAAUGAUAUUUCAUAAGAAGACAAUCACCUAUUGGUGUGGAUGUCUGUAUGUAUACACACACACAUUUCACCAGUUUUGAUAUGAGCAGGAUAUUUAUUAGUAGAUGCUAAUAUGUGUGUGUAUAUGUCUGUAAAUAUACAUAUACAUAUGUACACACAAGGACUCACUUUUACUGUUAUUCUUGUUUAUUUUAUGGUUGAAUUAGGUGGUUUGGUUCUUUGAAGAUUGUGCUGAUGUUUUUAACACACACACACUUAUAUAUAUAUAUAUAUAUAUAUAUCGAUUUAGUAUUAUUAUUUUUUGGGUAGGUAAAUAUAUGACAGAUUUUUGUGGAAGUACAACUGAUAAACAUUUAUGACUUAGACAGCUUUAUUUGGGUGAUUCAACAUUUUAGUGUUUUAAAGAUUUUCAAAGUGAAUUUAAAAAAAAAAUCAAAUCUUUGAUGUACAUAUAUACCUACAUAUAUCGGUACAUUCUGGAAUUCAUUUUAGUGUAUCUGUAGAUUGUAGUAGUAAAAUAAUUUAUUGAAUCUGAACGUGCUCAAAAUACAGAUGUGUAAGUGUAAUAUGUAAUUUUUAUUUUUAUUUUAUUUAGAUUGUGAAAAUUUUAAGACAUAGAAGUUUCAGUGAAUCAAAUCCAAUGAACUUUAUUUACAUGUUCUCAUAAUUGAUUAAAUAGAAGCAAUAAUUUGAAAUGAUUAUUGUUAUUAUUAUCAUAUCUUAAAAAAUCAUGGAAAAACAUAAAUAAAAAGUUAUAGUUGAUAUAAUCAAGUUGCAUGUACAUUGAUAAUUUCUGAAAAUUUCAGUUUUUGAAUUAUAAAAAAUGGAAUAUUUUAGUGAAGUUUAAAGCAACUUGUACAUUUCUAAUGAAAAAAACUUCAAUUUCUUGAACUUUUAGUUGUUACAGUUGUUGUUUUGAAAAUCAAUUCAUUCAUAUGUAGUAAUAUAAACAUAAAUAGAACAUUAAAUAAUAAGAUUAUAUAUAUAUAUAUAUAUAUAUGUACAUACAUACAUACAUACACACACACACAACAAAAAAAUAAGCAAUGAAUUCCAAAACAAGUGUGUACUCUAUGUUAUAAGAUAAAAAUAAAAUUUAAAUGCAUAAUAAAAAUGCCUCAAUUUAAAGUUGAUAUUUUUUUCUACAUGGUAAAAUUUAGCAACUAUUUUUAUUUUAUAAAUAAAUUUUCUAACAAUACUCAUUAUAUCAAUGACACUUUCAAAAGUAAAGUUUUUGAUGAAUUAAAAAUGCAGGUUACAUAAUUGAAUAAAUCAGCAAGAACCAAUAAGGAUCACUUCACAUAGUUAUAGAAAGUUAAUUUUAAGUUGCCAUUUUUAUGGAAUAAGCUUGCAUCUAUAGAAACUUAUUGCAAAAAAGUAUAUAAAAUAAUAAAGGAGAUGAUUCAUAGAAAAAUUCAUUAGAGAAUAUGUGUGACUUAAUCUCCUAUUAAAUUGGUCAUUUAUUGAUAUCUCUUUUAUUGACCUUGAAGUUUAUAAAGAAACCUAAUUUAGAACAUCCUAUUUCUACCAUCUUCUCCACUUAAUGCCUUCUCAAAGAGAAAGAAAGACUCCAAAGAUUCAAAAAGUGAAGAAGACAAACUUGAAUGCUUCAUGUACAUCAUAUUAAUUUUAAUUAAACAAAGUCUACUAGCCGUAUAAGUCAAGUUUUAUGAAUCAAAGCAACUUUAAGAUUUUUUUAGAGUAUCUAAAAAAAAUUUGAUCUUAAGAAUAAAUAUGAUCUUAUUAUAUUUAAAAAAUCAUACAUUUAAGUUACUAAAUUAAUUUGAAAUAAGUAAUUUAAAAAAAAUUAACUUCUACUUAAUAGUAAAAUUUAUCCAAAGAUUGGUAGAAAUCUUUUUGUCACAAUGAGACUAUACAUCAAAAAAAUUAAAAGAAUUUUGAAUAAAAGAUUGCAUUCUAUCACCAAUUUCAAUGCCAAAGGAUUGACUUUUACUUACAAAGAAGAUUUGCUAAUGGUAGAUGUGAUAUAGAGGUCAAGACCACCAUUAGGAUUUUUAACAACUAGAGCUAUAUUUGAAUCGGGUCUUUUGAAAAUUGAGCAUAUAAGUAGAGUUUUUGGAUUAUGGCUUGAUUGGAGCUGAUUUUUUGUGUCAAAGUUGAGUAACUAAUUUGUUGCCACUAAAAGUGAGAUAUUAGACAAAGCUUGUUACUUUAUCAAUUGUAUAUGGAAUAAUAUGUUAUUUUUAUUAAAUCAAAUCUUACAAAAUAUGAUUAGUUUGUGAACCUCUAAUAUCUAUAUCCAGAAAGCCUUGAUCUUAGUAUUAUAUCCAAUAAAGAUGUCAAAUUUAGUUGAGACUACAACUUAUUUAAUUGAUUUUUUUUCUAAAUAUAAAUAAGAUCUAAAAUUAGAUAAAAAUGAAAACUUGAGAGAUUUAUUUAAAAGUUUUUGGAAGGAUGCUACUUGAUUUAGUACUUUUUUAUGCAAGUAGUUGAGUAGAAAAUUGGUAAAAUUUUGUUCUAUUUCCGUUUGCUCAGUUUGUCUUUCAUGUCCUAUUGUAUUUAGUUUUACUCAAUUUUAUUUUGGUUUAUUUUAUCCUAUUUUGUAAUGAAGUUUUAUGUUGCUGUGAAAUAGAAGGAUCUUGGGUUUUUCAAAUAGUCUAGUCUUGAUUUAUUUGUAUCAACAUAAGCAUUAGACUCUUUAUUUUUGAUAGCAUGUCCAUAGUCAUCAUCUAAUUCAAGGUUAAUUAUUUUUUUCACACUGUAUAUUGUAUUAAGGCUACCACAAACUAUUCUUAAAAAGUUAAUCGGGAGGUGAAAAGAUAUCACAAUAGUGGAGUCAAGUGGAGAAAUUAUAGUAUGAGAGAUAUGGCACAACAAUUCCAAAUGAAGGCUCAAAUACAACACCUCUUAGGCUAGAUAGCUACUUUGCAAGAAAAAAUAGAAGCCUCGAGGAUAAGAAAGUUGACAUUUUCUAGGUUAAAAUUGAAUAAGUCUAGUACAUACUCAGGAACUUCACGACAAGAAGUUGUAUGUCAAUGGCUCUUCAACAUGCAACAAUACCUCCAACUAUUUGGGACAAAUACCAUUGAAAGAAUUAUAUAUGCAACCAACUAUUUGAGAGAUGCGGGAGCCAUUUGGUAGCAACAUCCAGUUCAAAGUAAUGGAACUAAAGGUGGAUUUUGUAACUAGGAGGAAUUUGACACUGAGUCUAGGAAUCAAGUUCGGCCCAUCAAUGUAUAAAAGAUAGUACAUAGUUAGUUGGCAAAUCUUAUACAAGCUAGGUCGAUGCAAGAUAAUGUCUCCUCAUUCAAGUCCUUAUGUCUUCAAAUUGACAUUAUUUUGGAGGCAAAGAUGAUAGAUCGUUUUCUGUGAGGUUUGAAAUGUGUAGUUUAGCAAGAGAUGGAACUAAGGGAUUUACAAACAUUCAAAGAGGCAAUUCAGAUUGCAAAGAGGGUUGAUACUAUAGAUUUUAGAAAUCAUGGAGUAAAACUUAUAGUACGAAGUCUUAUGUUACUAUCUAAUAUUAUGGCACAACAAUCAACGCCAAUAGAGAUUGAUGCCUUACAAGGAUCAUUGAUACUAUCAAGACAACAAAUAUUGGUACAAAAAAGAUUGUGUUUCUAUUAUCUGGAGCUAGGCCAUCAGAUCGUAGGUUGUUCAAAACAUCAAAGUACAAGUAUCAACACGAUAAGAUAGGUCACAGUCUCAAAAUUCACCAAGCUGAUAAUAAGUCAGACUAAAAAAAUAUGGCUCUCUAGUAUAAGCGUCGGAGGCUAAUACUGGGGUAGCUAUUAUCUUUUAGAGACAAAUGGCAUAACUUUAGAUAACUAUAAAAAGAGCCAAUUGAUGCAUCUAAUGCAACUAUUAAGAGGACAACCAUGUUGAGUAUUUGUAGAUUGUGGCUCUACAAAAAAUUAUAUCUUAGCUAAAAUUACCAACUUGCUUAGAAUUAAAAUCAAAGAAGUUAAGAGAGGAUGUAUAUACUUUGCAAAUAUAGAGAGAAUAUAUUAAAUGAGAUGUGUGAAGAUAAAAACUUCAAAUUGACAAACAUCUAUGUCUUAAGAGAGAGAUUCAAGGUGACAAAGCUAAAAUAUGAUGUUAUCUUUGAUAUACCAUGGCUAGAGAUGGAAAAUAAGGAAGUUGAUUAGGUAGCAAAGACAAUCUCUUUUAAAGAUGGAGGACACAAGGUGACUCUUUGCACCUCCACAUCAAGUGAAGAGAGAAGAUAGCUUGCAACCAAAGACUUACUUGUAGUAAUAAUCUUUAUGAAGAAGUAACAAUAGCAAGAGAAAUUGGUAUAUAUAUAUAUAUAUAUAUAUAUAUAUAUAUAUAUAUAUAUAUAUAGUGAUUCCAAAUAUUACAUCAAUGGUAGAAAAGACAACCUAAGGGAUGGAAUGGAUAGAACAACUCAUAGGAAAAUAUCAAGAUGUCUUUGCAACCAACCUACUAAGUGGCGUACUCUUGAUCGAGGUUCCUCCUUUCAAAUAAAACUAUUGCGUGAAGCCAAAUCAACAAGUCGACCAAUUUAUUGCUUGGCACCAAAAGAACUUAAAGAACUAUGAAAGAUAUUGGAGAAACUCUUAGAAAAAGGCCUCAUUUGAGAACCAUCGAGAGCAAUUGUACUCUUUGCACCUAAGAAAGAUGGUGGACUUUGCCUUUGCAUCAACUAUCAAAGUUUCACUAAAUAGAUUGUUAAAAAUACAUAUCUUUUUUCAUGUGUGGAUGAUUUUUUUAACCAUCUUCAUACUUCAAUCAUCUUUAGUAAAUUGGAUCUUCAAAGGGGCUAUUGGCAAACACCUAUUGCAAAAGAAGAUGUGAAAAAAAUGGCAUUUCGUAUGUAUUAUGGAUAUUUUGAAUGACUAGUUUUAUCCUUUGACCUCACCAAUGUUCCAGCCUCUUUCAUGGGUCACAUGAACAAAUUGUUUCUGGACUUUUUGAACAAGUAUUUAAUCGUCUUCACUAUUGAUAUAUUUGUAUAUAAUAAAAUCUUUGAAGAGCAUGAACAAUACCUAUAAGAAGUGUUUACUAGCUGCAAAUUAGUCACUUCUUUUACAAGCAAUCAAAAUGUGAACUUUGGAAGUUGAAAGUCAGCUUUUUGGAGCAUGUGGUGUCUUCUAUAGGCAUACAUAUGGAGCAAGAUAAGAUGAAAGCAAUGGAAGAUUGGCCAACUAUUAAAGAUGCUUUUGAAGUUUGCUCGUUUUUAGGUCUUAUUCGAUACUAAUGCCGUUUUGUUUGAUGAUUUGUUCACAUUGCUGCCUCAUUGACAAAUCUAUUCGAGAAGAAUGUACCUAUUUGAAUAGAAAUUAGAGUAGCAAAAUGCCUUUGAUAAGUUAAUGGAGGUAUUUAUUAUUGCUCUAUUAUUGCAAUCAUAUGAUCCUAAUCCCCGUUGUAUGCUUGACACUCAUGUUUUGACUUUGCUAUUGGUGUGGUCCUUUAACAAGACUUUGAUAUGGGUCUUCAACUUCUAGUGUAUGAAUAAUAGAAGCUCAAAAAGGUAGAGCGCAAUUACUUUACAUAUGAUUAAGAGUAAUUAGAGAUUGUACAUCCCACAAAGGUGUGGCGAUAUUAUCUUUUGGAGAAGCCAAUGGUUAUUUGGACUGACCAUCAAUCCUUGCUACAUGAUUUACAUCUGGAAUAUUUGAAAUUAUAGCAUCAUCAUUAAGAAGAACAAUUGUAGCUUUUUGAUAUUUAGCUUGAGUACAAAUAAAGACAAUAACAUAUUGUAUAAGAUAAUUUAUCACAAAGUCUAGACUUAAAAGAUGAAUCAAAAGAUAAGACAAAAGUUACUACCAUUAAUAGUAUCAUUUUAGAUCUAACUAAAGAAAUAGAAUAGAAGAAAGCUAUGCAAUGGGAUGCUUAUUUCAAGAUGGUUAGCGAUUGGCUAAAGGUGGGCAAUAUAUAAUAUCCAAUCUAUACUUUUGGUGAUGGCUUUCUCUAUUUUAAGAAGUAAAUUUAUCUAUUUAAUAAUACUAAAUUUCAAACACAUAUACUUCAAGAGGGACAUGACAUCCUAAUAUUUGGAUAUUUGAGAUGAGAGAAGAUCUUAGAAUGGAUCUCAAGGAUAUGAUUAUGGAUAGGUUUGGAUUAUGAUAUUCAAACCUUUCUACGCUUCUUUGAGUCAUGUCAAUGUAACAAAGCAUACAACGCAACAUCAUUUGAACUAUUGCAACCAAUUUUGCUACCUAUGAUAUAUUGAGAGCAAUUGACUAUGGAUCUCAUUAUGUGUUUGCUAUAGACACUUCAUAAUUAUAUUGCAAUUACUAUCUUUAUAGAUCAAUUCUUGAAGCAACUUCAAUUUGCCAUAGUACGCUUAGAUAUUGAUGCUCCAAUGCUUAUACAUAUCUUCUUUGAUACUGUCCUUGAAUUACCUUGUGUCAUUAUUUCAGAUCAAGAUCCAUGCUUCACAAAAAGUUUUUGAGAAGUCUUGUUUAAGAUAUUACGUACAUGAUUUACCAUGUCUAUAGCCUUCCAUCUUUAAAUAGAUGAGCAAACAAAGCGUACAAAUUAGACCUUAGAGGAUAUGCUAUAGACGCUUAUUGUGGUUCAUUAUAAUGAUUGGGAUAAAUACUUGAUAUCCUUCAACUUUGCUUAUAAUGAUAGUAUCCAAGCAAGUACUAGUCAUUCACCAUUUUUUCUUACUAUCGGUUAAUAUUUAAUUAUCCCAAUAACUCUUGAUUAUUCCAUUGAUAUCAACAACAUGACAACGAAAGAAUUUAUAUAACAGCUUAUAACGGCUUUACAAGAAGCAUGAUACCACCUCCUUACUAUACAAAAUCAAGAGAAGUAGUGUGUGGAUAACGAUCGACAAUACAAGACCUUUUGGGAGGAUAAUUAGGUGAUAUUUUUCAAUGCCAAAUUUUUGUUGUUGUAUUACGUGUUGUCUUAUUUAGGAAUGCACCAGGCACCUAGCUGUAGAAGGUGAGGUUGUGUUUCACAAGUAACCAAGAAAUCCUAGUAGGUUUCAACCAUAUGAGAAGAAUAUAAUCCAAAUUUUAAUUCAAAAGUACUAAAAAAUACUCUUUUUAAUAGCCUUAAUUAUACAUAAAUCUCAAUUACCUUAUUACUUUCAUAUUUAAGUAAUUUAGAUUUUACUUAUAAGCUCCAAUUCUAAUCAGUGAGCUUUAACAAGCUGUAACUUCUAAUUUGACCUUCUACUUGAUGUAAAUUUUUUCAUACAACUAUCAAUGUAAAUCUUCUAUAUGCUCAAGAAAUUUCAGUCCAAUCCAACUUACAAAAUGUGAAAAAACCUCCAAAAAUUGUAUUGAUGUCACCCAGUUGCCAACUUGAAAAGUGAAGCAAUAAUCCAAUUAGUGAUUUUUUCUUCUUCAAUUGUUAAAUUUAACUCAAAAUUGGUGUGCAGAUUGACCUUUAAGUCUUUCAAUACUAUGCCAAAUUUUACCUUGAUCUGGCUAAUAGAUCUCUAGAUAUCAUAGAAAUCUUAUUCAACUCCAAACUACCAACUUUCGAAACCCUCUUGUGCUAAAUACUAGAUAUCUCUAAACCACACUAUUAUAUUAUUACGAAAUUUUAUAUAUACUUAGCACAUCUAAUAAUCCAAAAAUAUCAAGUUUUGAACUAUAGAUGCUACAUCAAUUGCAUGAACUAGCCAAAAUUACUAGCCCUAAUUAUAUUUAUAUAUAACCCAAAUUACUAAUACAAAUCCUAAGUUUAAAUAAUAAUUACUAAAUUUUCAAAAAUCCUAAAAAAACAAUCCUUAUGCCUUUGGAAAGAGCUUUAAGCUAGCUUUCUAAUCUUAACCUUUGAUCUUUGAAUAAAAUCCUAAUUUAUCCUAAGUAGUUAUUUUAUUGACCAAAGAUCUGAUUUCAAUCCUGACUCACAAAGAGUCAAUCCCUAGAUAUCAACCUAAUCUAUCUUAAGGAUUUUUUUUACCCAAUCCUACCCUCAACUUAAUCUUAGUAUCAACCAUAUUAACCAUUUAUCUCUUCUAUCUUGAUUUUAAUAAUUUAUGACCUUUCUAAGGUAAUAAAAAUGUUUCUAUAUCCUAGAAGGUAAAAAUGCUAACUAACUUUUAUCUACUUGCUAUUAUGAUAAGAAAAUAGGCUACAAAGCUUUCAUAAAAGCCUUAUAAAAAUAUUUUAAAUUCUCCUUGAACUAAUAUAAUAGAGUAUUAAUUAAAAAAAUUAUUUUUAGUUAUAUUUUUACCAUCUAAUUGUAUCACAACACGACACCACUUGGAACAUCAAUCCAAAUCUAAAAACUAGCACCUCAGUGGCAUCGACCUAUCCGCAUUUUUGUAGUAAUUUUUAAUGUCAUGUAUCACCUUAAGCUUCUUUUAUAUAUUCAAGUCUAUCUACUCUUCCAUAUUUCAUAAUUGAAGGAAUUUCAUAAUGAGCCAAAGCACUUUUCAGACUAACAUCAAUCACGACCACUACCACCACUACCAAUUAUAAUUGAUUACCAACAAGAAUAUGAAGUGGACAACAUUUUAGAGCCUCGCUACCUUCGUCAUGGCAGAAGGUGUCUACAACUUCAGUUCUUUGGAAACGUUAUCUAUCACGACAUACACAUGUAAGCUAGUAAUUACGUAUAUAAAUAUGUAGAAAAAAAUAAAAGUAAAUAAAAGUAAGUUAAUUCUAUAAUAUCUUCUAAAAAAGCUUCUUAGAAGCUUCAUAGAUGCUUCUUUGACUUUAUAGGUAUUUAUAGUUAAUUUUUAGGUUAAAAACUUGGUGAACAAAUUAAUCAUGUGCCACACAUAUUGAUAGCUUGAAAAAUAAGCUAAUUAUGUAGCCUACAUGUAGAAAACGUGUCUUAUAAGCUAAGACAUGUGUCUUGCAAAGUCAACACAUAUUAGAGGUUUAAGAGAACAUCACCAUGUAGCUCCUAGUUAAAUAGUAUAUAUAGAGGUAAGAGUGAAGUCCUCUUCAUUCUUCUCAAUUGAUUUCUUGCUUCUAAUCUAGUUUCAAGAGUCUCAAGUUUUCUUGUCCUUUGAUAAUAAGCCAUUCCAAUUUCUUUUUAAUAUACAUAUUAUCUUAUUUUUAUUUUAUAACUUUCUAUUUGACAUAGAUUUCAUUGAUUUAUGCAUCAUCUUCUAGUUCAUAUCCUUGAUAGAUUGACAAGAGUAUACUUACAAUAUCAGAGCUUUGUCUUAUCUUGAAUAAGGGUCAAUUAUCCAUUUUUCAUGAUUAGACAUAAGCCUAUUAGAAGUUGCGGAUUACCCUCUUCUAAAUUGAUAUUUUUCUUAGUAUUUUCUUUGUCUUCAAGUCCUUUCUUCUACUUAUCUUGAGUGAUAUAAGAUAUUUUUUUAAGUGUUAUUAUGGUACACCUUGUUAAAAUGAAGAGUACAAUGGCACAAAUCCAAGAACAAUUGAGGGAAUUAAUACUUACAAUGCUCAACUUAGCUUACCACCACAAGGAUCAAUAAAAAUGGCAAGAAGUGAGGAUAUAGAAAUGAUUAGAGCUACUUCAACAUCUACACCAAAUCAUGUUCCUCUAUCCAUGGCAGAACAUCCUUCAAGUCUUAGAGAACCAAGAGUUGCCAUGUCGAAGAAGUUUGAUGGUAUAAGAUCCAAAUUUCAAGGAUUUAUCAAUGAAGUAUAACUUGUGAUUGAACUUCAAGCUCAAAGCUAUUCCAUUUCAGGAUUACAAAUUAGAAUCAUAAAUACACUUCUUUCAAGUUCAAUACUAUUGUGGAUUUUAUCUUUUCUUGAAUGACAAGAUCUAAUAUUGAAUAAUUUAGAGGCAUUUUUGGUAGAAUUUUGGUCCAUAUAUGGAAAACAUGAUGCAAUUCAUGUUUCAAAUAACAAGAUCUAUAUUUUGCAAUAGAACAAUCAAUCUAUAAUAUUAUAUAUUUCAUAAUUUUGAUAACUUGUAACUAAUACUAAGUGAGAUGAUGUUGCACUUUUUAGCCAAUUUUUCUAUAGAUUAUAAUAUGAAGUAAAAAAAUUGAUGCUCAGCUUAUCUAAUCCUCAAACAUUAAGUCAAACAAUUGAUUUUUCUAUCAAAUGCGACAAUCAACUUUUUGAAUUUCAAUUUAAGAGUCGCUCAAGUAGGCCUCAACAUUACUAUAAUUCAAUAGCAAUAGCAAUAUCUCUUCAAGACAUACAUUCUGAAGUAGAGGAUAUGCAAAUUAAUAUGAUAUGUUUUAAACUACUUACUGAGUAAGAAAAGAAUCAUUGUUAUUAAGAAAGAUUUUUCUUAUAUUGUAGAGAACCUAAAUAUAUUGCUCAAUACUGUUCAAAGAAGUGACAGAGCUACAAAAUCAAGAUCACAACUAUCAAAGAAAAUAAUGUGUUGAAAAAAACAUUCAUCGAACUAUAAUAGAAACCAUGCGGUUGAAAUCUUAUACAAUUUCUAAUAAAGGUCCUAUCUUCUCCUAGAACCAUCUUCUUAUUUUAUAAUAGAUGUGUAUUUAGGACCUAAUAAUUAUAAAGCCUGUGCCUUGAUAGAUUCCAGAACCUCAACUUGUUUCUUAGACUAGAAUUUGUUAAAAGUUAUAAAGAACCAUUAAUACAAAAAAACAAACUUGUUCAUAUAGAAAUCAUAGAUGGUCGUCCGUUAUCUUCUACAGAUGUUACUCAUGAAACACUUCUUAUAGAUGUAGCAAUAAAUGGUCAUAGUAGUUGCAUAAUCUUUAAUAUAGUUAGAUCUCCUUUUAAUCUUGUGUCAAGGACAAGAACUCGAUAAAAAGAAAUUCAGACAAGUGAGCCUUCACUCAAAGAAAAGUAACAAAAUAUAAAUAAAUAAGUAUGUAUAUUGAAAGAAAAACUGGAAUGGCUAUUGCUAAAAGACAAGAAAACUAGAGACCGUUGAAACUAGACUAGAAGCAAGAAAGGAAUUGACAAGAGUGAAGAAGGCUUCACUCUUGACUCUAUAUAUACCAUCCAACUAGGGACUAUGUGGCAACGUUCUAUAGGACCUCGAAUAUGUGUUGACUUUGUAGGAUACAUGCCUUGACUUACAAGGCAAGUUUUUCUACAUAUGGGCCACAUAGUUAGCUUAAUCUUCAACCUAACAACAUGUGUGGCACAUGAUCAACUUGUUGAUUACGUAUCUAAUCCAAAAAGUCAAUUAAAGACACCUAUGAAGUGAAAGCAGUAUCUAUAAAGCUUCUAAGAAGCUUCUAUAUUAAAUACUAUAGAAUUAACUUACUUCUAUCUAUUUGUAUAUGUAAUUACUAGCUUACAUGAGUAUGUCCGUGACAUUAUUCUCCCUUCUAGGGGUGAGUUCUACGAGGAGCAGUCAUCAUAUGUUGAAGAAAUCUAUGAUGUGACGAAUUGUAUUUACCACCUACUCUGAUCUUUGUUCUCUUCGAAGAUGAUUGAUAGGGCCUCUCAACCAUCGGUAGUGUCCUAUACCAGGGCAGGAAGAUCAUCUAGUUAUUUGAUCAUUGUUGAGGCCUUCAUAACUUCUUAUGAAUAGAACAUUUGGAACACCAUCAGGAGUUGUUCCUACCUCUAGCAAAAUCACCAAACAUCGAAAAUUCCUUCCCAAAUCGUGAUACCAAAAGCGUUGUAUCUCACCAUCAAUUCAAGGAAGAAUAUGUCAUUCUUGAAGAUCUUCAUCU